AGUCAAGAACUUCAAUAUUCUUCCAUAGAAAGUGCUCAACUUCUGUCAAAGAGUUGUGAGAUACGUUUAAGUAAGUCAAAGAGCCAUUCCCCACCUCUUGCAUCCACUGUGGAAUCUUGCCUUCAAUUUUGUUGCAAGAGAGGUCUAAGCUUUCCAAACUUUUAAGCCCUUUUAAAAAUUGGGGGAAUUCACUAAGAUUGCAAGAUGACAAAAGUAAGUCUGUAACAUUAGGCAAUAUAUGAUUAACACUAGAUGUAGUAUUAGAUGUUAAGGAUAGGCUGUUAUAUGAAAGGUCGAGAUGUUUUAGAUUUGGAAGGUUUGAGAACAUGCGAAACUCUAUGACACCACUAAGAUUAUUUGAGGAUAAAAGGAGCCAGGUAAGAUUGAGAAGUUGGAAUAUUGAAGAUGGAAGGGGACCUUGGAGUUUAUUAUUUUCUAGAUCUAAAUAUUCUAGUGAUUUGGUUUGGAAUUCUUUGAUAUGCCCACUGAAUUGAUUUUGAGAGAGAAUUAUACCCUUUAAGGAGGGAGCAGUAUACAACCAUGACGGAAGUGUUCCAUUGAGUAAAUUGUCAUAUAAGACUAAAUAUAUUAGAUUCGGAACAGCGGUUACCUCAUCUGGAAUAGAACCUUCUAAAGAAUUUUCAGAUAUUUCCAAGUAUUCCAACUGCGUUAGGUUUAGAAUUGACAAUGGAAUUUGUCCACUCAAUUUAUUUGAUCCCAAGUCUAAAUGAGUGAGUUGCAAGAGGUUUCCAAGUGAUCUUGGAACCGGUCCUGAUAAGUUGGAAUAGGAGAGAUCUAAAAACUUCAAGGACACAAGAUUCCCCAUCGAGUCAGGCAAUCCUCCAAAAAAAUUUGCGCCUCUAAGAAUCAAGUACUCCAAAGAUGAUAAAUUUGUGAUUGAGACAGACAAUCCUUGAAAGAAAGAAAUUCCUGAUAGAUCUAAGUACUUUAAGGCCCGUAGAUUAUCAACCGAAUCAAUGAAUUCUGUAGAGAAGGACAUCCUCGACAGAUCCAAAUGUUCGAGAUUGCUGCUCCGGUUCAACUUCAAAGGAUCAAGAUUGAGGUUUUGGUUGCCUCCCAAGUUGAGGAGAUUGAGGUUUGGCAAAUCAAAAAUGUUUUUUGGGAAUUUUCCUUGCAAAUCACAACCAGCAAGACUGAGAGACCUUAGAGAAGAGGAUAGAUUCAUGAAGACAUGAGCAUUAACAUAAGACAUGUCCAUUCCACCCAAAAAUAGAUGUCUGACAUCGGUUAGGUUGUGAACAAGUCCCUCCAGAGCAUGUUUGUCAAUUGUUUGUUCACCAAACACAGAGGAGGAGAGAUCAAGUGAAACCAAUUUUGACAGGUGGGAGACUUGGGAUGGGACUUCUCCUGCAAACCCUGUAUAAGAAAGGUUGAGGUAGAAUAGGCUAGUAAACCGACCGAACUCGGAUGGAAUUUUGGAAAGAUUAAAAUCAUUGUAGGCAAGGUUGAGUUUUUGAAGGUGAGGAAGAAGGAAGAGAGUGGUAUUGGAAGGGAAGUUGCCAUAUAGCCAACUGCAGCUCAAGUCAAGGGCAAUAACAUGAGCAUUUAGGUGGUCACAAGUGACCCCAUCCCAUGAGCAGCAAUCUGUACCCUCCUUCCAUGAAUUUGUCUUGGGAUAAGAUUUAAGGCCAGCAUAAUCAUUGCAAUAAGAAGAAACAUCCUCUGUUACGGAAAAAGAGUCCUUAAACUGGAUUAGGGAAGAGCAGGAGUGAGAUCCUGAAGAAGAAAAAGAAGCAUAAAGAUGGGGAAAGAAGAGGAAUAGGCAGAGAAAGAGAUAGGGGGCCAUGUUAUGUUUGUAGAGAAAGAAGAAGGAUAGGAAUGGUAUUUGUAGGCAACAAAUAGUACCACAACAUUGGUGUUACAGUAUUUUUUUUUUCUUUUACAUUGAAAAGCUAUGGAUAUUAGAUUUUCAAAAAUUUUGUAUUUUUCACCAUCAUCAACAACCACUUAGUCUUCUUUUUACCAUAUAUUUUUCAUUCUAUUUUUUUAACAAAAUCUUGUAUUUCAUUUCAGCUUUCAAAACAACUAAAAAAUUUAAAAUUGAUGAAAUUACAAAGUAGAUUGACUUAGUCUUCUUUCCUAUAACAUUUAAAAGAAUAUCUUGUCAACCAAAGUUAAUUAAUGUGAAAAUUCUUUUUCACACAAAAGAACAAAAUUGUGCUCUAUUCACUAAGUUAGAGGAAAAAGACUGCUAGAUUUUUUAAUUAUUUUUUCUUUGAAAAAUUUGAAAGUUUUUUACUGCCUUUAAGCCAAUAAAAAAAACAUGUAUUAAUUUUGUUUUUAAAAAUAGUGUGUUUGAUUGUGAAAUGAUUCAUCAUCCUCCACCACAAACUAUCCAUAUUUGCAGUGUGAAAGCAGCUACUUUCAUAAAGAAAUUACUUAGGAGAUGGGAUCCACCAAUUUUACCUAAACUCGCAUCAACAUUGUUUAGCAAUUUCAAAAUAGACUAAUUAGUCUGGUUCAAAUACCAAGACUACAAUAUCUAUUCACUUCACUUGGUCUUGCUUCCUAUCGCUGUCAGCCAAACUUGAUCGACUAGCAGUAAGGAAAUUUCAGUCAUUUGCAGCAUAAUGUACAAGAAUUCCACUCCCGCAAAAUAAUUUACAAUAUGGACUAACACACUAAAAAUGAUUUUUAAAAAAUGAUUUUUAGAAAGUAAUUUUUGAAAAAUGGUUAGAAGAUAAUUUUUGUUUCUGAAAUAGUUAAUUUUUUUUGGUGUUUAGAUAAAUUUUGUUAUGUUUUCAUUGUUUACUUGAGUUUAUUUCAUAAAGCUUAUGUAUAUAUUUUAAUUAAUCAUGUUUUAGUUUUAAUUAAUCUUAAUUUACUUAAUUAAGCUUAAUUGUUAACUUCGUACAUUAGAAUAUAAAUUUAUGUUUAAUUAAGUUGAAAGUGAUAAAUAUUUAUUUUGAAUAUUAUUUGGAUAAGUUGAAAAAUGAUUUAAUUUGAUAAAAUUGAAGUCAGGGUCAUAGAACUAUGCUUUUUACUGACAAAAUCUUAGAUGCAGUGAUUAUUGAGACUAAAAAAUGAAAGUCAUGAAAGAAGACAUAAAUAGUUGAACCAUACAAAAUGUUACAUUUUGUAAUGCAAUGAAAUAUAGAUGAAUUGUUACAAAUAUAAAGACAGAUGCAUUGCAAUGCAACCUUUCUCCAUAGGAAAAAAAAUUUGACAGACUUCAAAACAAGAAAUUAUGAAGAUACAACAUACACACUUGAACAUCAUUUCCACUAACUAGAUCCUUCUUCGUCCAUUGCUGCGACUGCCAUCCUUUGACUUUCUUCUUCGCUACUUCUCAUGUUGGAUUCAACCAAAUUCACCAACCAUUUUGGCUUACUAAUUUGGAAAACAACAUAUCCCACGACCAUUCCAAACACUACUCCGCAUCCAUAACCUAUCAACACCAAUUUCCAACCAAAAGAGAUGUUUGAUUUUGAACCAUCUUUUCCAAGCACAUUUGGAGGUGGUGGCUCAAUGAUGUUGCAACCUUUUGAGACCGGAAAUCCACAUAAUCCCUUGUUUCCUUCAUAUGAAUCAUUUCCAUAUGUGUUGAACUGUUUGCCUUGAGGAAUCUGACCAUGGAGUUGAUUUUCAGAAACAUUGAAGGACGAAAGAAAUGCCAGAUCUGCAAAUCUAUUUCGAAUUGUCCCUGACAACCUGUUUGAAUAUAGGUCCAACCAUUCAAGACUCGUCAAAUUCCCUAUUGAAGUGGGGAUACCACCGUUAUAAACACUGUCAUAUGGCAUGAAUAACAUACUCAUAUAUUUACUGUCACAUGGCAUGAAAAACACACCCUCAUAUUCACUUUCACAUUAGUCAUCAUAAGCUUAUAACAUAUGUCAUAGCAAUCUCAUAUAUAUUCAUAAUUUCACAAUUUCACAAGCGUACAUAUAUCACAUUUAAUCAUAUGCGCGAGAAAACUUACUCUCACUUACUCUUGGAAUUUAGAGUAGGAAUUUAGGCUACCACUAAAUUCUCAUCAAUUAAACAAUGAAUCAUCUACGAGCAACAAUUUCAAACCACAAUGAAUCGAGAGCUCAAACUAGCUCUUCCUCUAACUCGUAGAAGGCUUUAAUGAAUCCGAGGCUUCACACAUGACAAUCACACAAUACUCACAGUCAAAUGACAGCCAAGGACCCACUUAAACUAACCAAAAUAAAAGCCUAAGCUACCUUCUAAUGUAACCAAACCCUUUAGCAUGACGAACUUAAAAUGCAAAUAUAUCAAUCUACACUUAAACAUUUUCACAUGAAACAAGUUUCAGUCAUCCCCCAUAUUCAUUUAUAGCUAAACUCCAAUCUUUAAACCACACAAAACUACAAGUUUCAAGGUAUAACAUUUUUCCACAAAUUUUGACCAUAAUAAUGAAAAUUCAUUAAAACACGGGAAAUCUAUAAUGAAACUUAGAAGUAAUUUUAAAAAACUUCUAAUUAAGUUAAAACAAGUUGAAAAACACUUUUAAAUCACUUUUUCAUCCACAAUCUCGAAUUCCACCAUUAAUGACCCAAUUUUUAGGUUUAAAUUAAAACAUGCAAUUUCAUAACUAAAAUCUCAAUUUUAAAGUCUAGAUAACAUUAAAAACUAAUGAGAAAGUAAAUGGUUACCUUUGAUGAAAGAUUAAACGAGUUUUGAAGUAAAUUUGAAAAACCCACAAUUGAAGAAGAAGAUGAAAUCUAUGGCGUUUUUGAGUGUUUUUCUUGGAAUUAUAAGAAAUCAAAGUACUAUUGUUUGGGAAUAAAAAUUAAUUGAAAGAUCAAGGGAAUAGCAAAGGACGGCAAUAGCAAACUUUGGAGAGUAACUAUUGUGAAAUAGAACAGGGAAUGGGGUUUAUUAGGUUCAAUUUAAAACAUUGGUAAAACUUCAAUCUAAGUGCUCACUAUUUUAACUUUGUUACAAAUUAGUUCUUUUUCUAAAUUUUAGGUAUUUAAAACUCAUUUUCAGAAAUCGGCUCAAUUCCCUAAUAGCCAUUGUCGAAAACAUUAUUGAAUACUAACCUUACGAAAUUUUGAUUACAUAUAGGCUAAAAUUCCUAAAAAAAAAUUGAAACUCUUAGAUCCUAUUUUGGGGUGUUCACGUAUGGUCAUGAUUCAUGUUGAAUUAAUACAUCAUUCACCGUAAUAAGGCUUAUCGUUGUAAUAAUUAGUUAAAUCACCUAAUAUCUAAAAAAUUAUUAUUAUUUUCAUAAAAUCAUUGAUCAAAUUAUUGUUUUCAAAUUUCAUACAUAAAAUUAACAAAUAAAGAUAGCUCUAAAUAGCAAAACCCAAUAUGUGUAACAAGUAUUUUUAUUAAUCCAUUUGGAAUGUUAAGGUUUGCUGGAGCAAAUAAAUUGAUUAAUGCUUUGAACUUUCCAAACACUUUUUAUAGUUUUGUUAUAUGCAUUUUGUAUAAUUAGUAUAUUUGAAUAUAUUAGAUACAUCGUCUAAAACAAUGCCAAUUGUAAUUUUUUUAUAUUUUGUUGAUCAUAAGCGUAUUAUAUAAAUAAUUUAAAAAAAAAAAGAUGGAGUGAUACAUUUAUGUAGUGCUUAUGAAUAUAAUGUUGGAUUAAAAUCCUUAAUUAUGAGUACAUAUGUAUAUGCUUGAUAUUACAAUUAUCUUAAUAAUUUUGUUUCUGUUCUUGUUGAUUGAUGAUUAUAGAAAUCAUUAUUCUUCUGAAGGCAUACUUUGUUGUCAAUGACAGUACCUGCACCCUAAAAAAGUCACCAGCUUUAACGACUACAAAAGUUGUCCUGCCUGAUAUUUAUUAAAAAAUCACCAGGAAGCACAUUGUCAGGACAUCCUUGCUGGAAAAAAACUUGGUAGGAUGGUUUUUCUGUGCAAACUUAGUAAUUAAUUUAUGUUGUUUUUACCAAACUUUGUAGCGUUUCACUUUUGGUAAAAUUUCAUCCUUGGUCCCUUUAAACUCCUUUUUGCUUUAAUUUGAUUGCUUUCUAGCGUUGCAAAUUACAUAACACUCUUCAAAUGUCUUAUUAAAUUCUCACUUUUACGAGUGCUAUGUUAAUCAAUUUUAAGUUCCAUAUAACACUUACAUGGCUACAAAAUGUGUGUGUGUGUAAGUGUCCUCAACCACAAACAAUCCAAAUUUGCUGAGAAACCACCCAUUAUAUAUAGGUUUGCCAAUGAGAUGGCAAGCAGACUGCUAGCUAGAAAUUCAUGCAUCUUUGAAUCACCAAUUCAAUUAAUAAGCUUAACUAGAGGAAAUAAGGACUUUACACCACCAAUUAAAGCAACCUAUAUGUACCCUUUUACAGUCUGCAUUGUUCCAUGUUUCCAUUCAUUACAUCAUUCCUUCAACUCUGCUAUAUAUUAUUACCGUCUCCAGAAAACCAAACCUUUUACUGCUAACUUGUAAAAAAAUUAUGAAAAUACAACAGAGAUCAUUGAGACAUUGUUGAAGUUGGCUUGCAUGCAGACCAAGAAGCACACCAAGCUGUCCGAGAUAUGCAAGUUGCAGCUGAAGCUUAUGCUGCUGUUUUGUUACUUUCAAAUAGAUAUUUUAUUAUUUACUUAGAUAUGAACUAAGUUGCUGAUAUGCUUGAUGUAAUUAGGAGCUGAUAGAUUGAUAAAUCAGCUUUACCAAGUGUACAAGCAAUGUUUAUCAAGUUACUAAGCCACUUAGUGGAGUUAGGUAUGUGUUUAGGUAACAUUUUCUUAUUUUUGACCAGCUGAUUGCUUGCUAUAUGUAAUGGCAUUGUGCCUUCAUUCAAAUGUAAAGAAAUCUUUCAGAAAAUUCUUCUUCAUUUGGUCUUUACCUAAGCAUUUUUUUUCACGAAGCUCUUGCUGUUUUUGUUUUGUUUGUUGAGCAAGAUAACAAUGCUUUAUGCUUAAGUUUCUGUCAAAAUUUCUCAUUCUGUUUUCUUAGUUCCUACAGACAUUUUGUUCUCCUUUCUCCUUUACUGAGCAGUAGCAAAGAUUAUCGAGACUAAAUUGAAAUCCAUGAAAGAAGACAUAAACAACACCACCAUACAAAAUGUCACACUCAAACAAACCAUUACAGAUACGAAAUGCAAUGAAAGACAGAGGAAUUGGUACAAUAAUAAAGACAGCCAGAUACCAAUGCAACCCUUCACCAUAGGCAAAACGGUCUACAAACAAGAAAUUAUGAAAAAUACAACACUAAUUCUUGAACAUCAUUUGCAGUAAUUAAAUCCUUCUUCGUCUACUGCUGUGAUUGCCUUUCUUUGACUUUCUUCUUCGCCUCUUCUCAUGUUGGUUUUCAACCAAAUUCACCAACCAUUUUGGCUUACCAGUUUGGAAAACAACAUAUCCCACGGACAUUCCGAACACUACUCCGCAUCCAUAACCUAUCAACACCACUUUCCAACCAAAAGCAAUGUUUGAUUUUGAGCCAUCUUUUUCAAGCACAUUUGGAGGUGCUGGAUCAAUGAUGUUGCAACCUUUCGAGACCGGAAACCCACACAGUCCCUUAUUUCCUUCAUAUGAAUCAUUUCCAAAUGUGUUGAAUUGUUUGCCUUGAGGAAUCUGACCAUGGAGUUGAUUUUCAGAAACAUUGAAGGACGAAAGAAAUGGCAGAUCUGCCAAUCUAUUUGGAAUCGUCCCAGACAACCUGUUUGAAGAUAGGUCCAACCAUUCAAGACUUGUCAAAUUCCCUAUUGAGGUGGGGAUAUCACCAAUAAGGUUAUUAUGAGAAAGGUUGAGCCCUUUCAGUAAGUUAAGCUUCCCAAUAACCUUUGGAAUACCCCUUUCAAACUGAUUGUUUGAUAGAUCAAUGAUCAUCCACAUGGUGAAAAUUUUCACCAAUUCCCUAUCUUGUCCUUUCAUAACAAUUCCAAUGGAAUAGGUAUAGAAGCCAACUCCAUAAUCAUGCACCCCCAUGUAUGACACUGUACUACCAAUCUUCUCUAGAUUUAUGAUAGCCUUGAAGCUGUUGAUGUAUCUCACUGGUAGGGGUCCAGAAAAAUAAUUACUUGAGAGAUCAAAAAUUUGGAUUUUAGAGAAAAAAGGGAUAGACUUGGAGCUAUUGACACAUAAGGAACCAUGCAGUUGAUUUGACUUCAAUACAAGAACUUGUAGCUGUGGAAGACUUCCCAACCAGUGAGGAAAUGUAUCAUUGAUCUUGUUGUUACCAAGAUCUAGCACUUCCAGACCUCUACAAUUAAGGAUGGAUGGUGUCAAAGGCCCUUCUAACAGAUUUCCAUUUAAGUUGAAAUUACUCAAUCGGCAUCCCUUUGCAAAUGCUGGAGGAAUCGUCCCAUAAUACUUGUUCUUCUUCAGAUUCAAGAAUAGAAGGCUGUUGCUCAAAUUUCCAAAACAUUGUGGAAUUGUUCCACUCAAGUUAUUGUGGGACAAAUCAAGAAUUUCAAGAAAAGCGGCAUUGCAUAUUAAAGAAGAGACCUCUCCAUUGAAACUAUUAUUUGAGAUCAAAAAGACUCUUAUGGUCGAAGCUGGAAUCGGAAGAUUUCCACUGAUCAAAUUGGAGCUUAAGUCAAGAACAUCAAUAUUCUUCCAUGGAAAGUGCUCAACUUCUGUCAAAGUGUUGUGAGAUACAUUUAAGUGAGUCAAAGAGCCAUUCCCCACCUCUCGCAUCCACUGUGGAAUCUUGCCUUCAAUUUUGUUGCAAGAGAGGUGUUGAAGUAAUGGUCAGCAUGCAGCAACCAAGACUGUCAAAGGCACUACAUGCAGAAGCUGCUGGUUCACCUAGUCAGCAAGCUGUUUAUGUUUCAUUUUGUAAUUUUAAGUUAGAGUAAUGUAACUUAGUUGCUUUAUAACUAUGUUAGGUUUAUGUUUGAUGUAAUUUUGAUGUUGACUGAGCUGAUAAAUCAGCUUUGUUUGUUUAUUCAAGCUAAUUAGCACAAGUUACUAUGUGUAUUAGUGGUAGUAGGUGAAGUUUAGGUCAACCUACUGUUUUGUCAAGAUUGUAAACUUGUUUUAUGUAUUGGCUUUGUGCCAUAUUUAGUUUGAUGAAUGAAUUCAAGAAGUUAUCAUCCAUAUGCUCUCCAUUUUUAGUUUUGCUUAAAAAUCCAUUUGAGUUUUCUGCUUUGUUUCUCCUACAAGUCACGAGACUUGCCAUACAAGCAUUCUGCUGAAGCUUGCUGCUGCUGCCUCUUGCACCAACAAUUGGUAUCUAGAGCCACAUUCUUAGAGGACCUGUUGUAGUUCAGUAUCAAAACGAUGGCAUCAUCAGGUUUUUCACCAGCUUCACCACCUGUCUUCAAUGGAGAGGGCUUCAACAUUUGGGCAGUUAAGAUGAGGACUUACCUGCAGGCAUUCGACCUAUGGGAAGUUGUUAACUCAGAUGCUGAGCCAGCACCUCUUCGAGCUAAUCCAACAGUUGCUCAAAUAAGGCAACACACUGAUGAAAGGACAAAAAGGCACAAGGCCAUGUCAUGCAUACAGAAUUGUGUGACAGAUGUGAUCUUUAUGAGGAUCAUGGCCUGUGAGACACCAAAGGAGGCUUGGGACAAGCUGAAAGAAGAAUUUCAGGGGACUGAGAAAACAAGGCAACAACAGCUGCUCAAUUUGAGAAGAGAUUUCGAAAAUCUCAAAAUGAAAGAGGAAGAAACAGUUAAGCAGUACUCAGACCGGAUUAUGGCUGUUGUAAACAGCAUAAGGCUCCUAGGAGAGCAAUUCAGUGAAGCUAGAAUGGUUGAGAAAGUCAUGUCCACUCUACCAGAGAGGUAUGAAGCUAAAAUUUCAUCCCUCGAAGACUCAAGGGACUUGACAACUAUCUCCUUAACUGAGCUAAUCAAUGCCUUGUAUGCAUAAGAGCAAAGAAGAGCUAGCAGACAAGAGGAGCACCAGGAAGGGGCUUUUCAAGCCAAAGAAGCCUCGAGCAUCAAAACUCAUAAAGGCAAAAAGUUCUGGAAAAACAAGCCUAAGCCUGAUGCUGCUAGGAGCAGUGACCAACUCUGCAGACAUUGUAAAAGAGCUGGUCAUCCAGAAGAUAGAUGCUGGUUUAGACCAGAUGCAGUAUGCCAAAACUGCAAGAAAAAAGGCCAUGUUGAAAAAGUUUGCAAGAAUAGAAGCAAACCAAGACAGAAUCAAUUUCAGCAACAAAAGGUGGAAGCUCGAGUAGCUGAAGAAAGUAGUGAUCAAGAAGAACAUGUUUUUGCUGUGUCAUGUGCAGCAAAUCAGAAGAAGGGUUCAAAGGGCUGGCUUCUAGACAGUGGGUGCACAAACCACAUGUCACCAGAUGCAACUAUCUUCAAAACCCUGGACAGAACCUGCAAAACCAAAGUAAAAAUUGGAAAUGGUCAGUUAAUCAAUGCUGAAGGAAGAGGAGAUGUGCUGAUUCAUACUUCUACAGGUGGCAAAAUCAUUUCAAAUGUACUUUUGGUACCUGAAAUCGAUAGGAACCUUCUCAGUAUAACUCAACUACUUGAGAAAGGUUACUCAGUUGUUUUCAAGGAGAAAGAAUGUCAAAUUUUUGAUCCAAGUGGAUCAAAUCUUAUAACAGUCACCAUGACUGAUAAAUGUUUUGAAGUAGACUGGCCAAAUGACUCACAUUCAGCCUGCAUAGCCUCCACUAAUGACUCGAGACUCUGGCAUCAGAGGCUUGGACAUGCAAACUACAAAUCCAUAGCCCGCAUGGUCAAUGAAGGUCUGGCAGAAAAUUUCAUUGAUUCAGUGAAGAAUGAUGAGCUUUGUGAGAUAUGUCAGCAAGGAAAAUUGGCAAGAUUGCCAUUUCCAACAAGCACAACAUGGAGAGCAUCAGAGAAGCUCCAGCUUGUGCAUACAGAUGUGUGUGGACCAAUGAAGACUGAGUCUCUCAAAGGAAGCAGGUACUUUAUUUUAUUUAUUGAUGACUUAACAAGAUACUGCUGGAUUUAUUUUCUAAAACAGAAAUCAGAAGUACCAUCUAUGUUCCUGAAGUAUAAGGCUGCUGUUGAAACUGAGUCUGGUUGCAAACUUAGAGCAAUGAGGUCAGAUAAUGGAACUGAGUACACCUCAGCUCAGUUCCAAGUCUACUGUGAAGAAGCAGGUAUCAAACACCAGUUGACUAAUGUGUAUACACCCCAACAGAAUGGGGUCAGUGAAAGGAAAAACAGAAGCUUGAUGAACAUGGCAAGAUGUCUUCUGUUUGAGAAGAAUUUGCCCAAAAGUCUGUGGGCUGAAGCUGUUAACACAGCAGUUUAUCUCUAAAAUAGGCUCCCAACCAAGGCUCUGGCUGAGAAGACUCCAUUUGAAGCCUGGUUUGGGUUUAAGCCAUCACUGGCUCAUCUCAGAACCUUUGGUUGUCUGUGCUAUACUCAAGUUCCAGCUGAGAAGAGAAGCAAGCUAGACAAAAGAGCUCAAGCAGGGAUCCUGAUCGGCUACAGCUUGGUUAAGAAGGGCUACAGAAUUCUAGAACCUGCUACAAACAAGAUAUUGGUUAGCAGGGAUGUUGUUUUCAAUGAAAAAGGACACUGGAAUUGGGAGAAGGCUGAACCAGAGGCAGUGGCUGAAGAUCUGGCAGUGGACCAAGUUGAAAAUGGUGAAAACACACCUGAAAUGGAUGUAGAUGAUGUUCCAAUCAGAGGCACUCGAUCACUGGCUGAUGUUUAUGAAAGAGCACAAGUGGCUACUGUUGAACCAAAUUGCUUUGAAGAAGCAGAAAACCAGGAGGACUGGAAGCAAGCAAUGAUUGAAGAAAUCAGAAUGAUUGAAAAGAAUCAGACCUGGAGUCUGGUUGAUAAACCAACAAACAGGAAGAUUAUUGGUGUCAAAUGGGUUUAUCGAGUAAAGAACAAUGCUGAUGGUAGCCUAAACAAGUUAAAGGCUAGAUUGGUUGUGAAAGGCUUCAGUCAAAGGUAUGGAUCAGACUACCUGGAAACCUUUGCACCAGUGGCCAGGUUAGACACUAUUAGACUGCUAGUUGCCUUAGCAGCACAAAAACAGUGGCUGAUACACCAACUUGAUGUAAAAUCAGCAUUUCUGAAUGGAUUCCUUGAAGAGGAGAUUUAUGUGGAGCAACCUCAAGGUUUCAAGGUGUCUGGCAAAGAAGAUAUGGUGUACAAGCUCAACAAAGCCUUGUAUGGCUUGAAACAGGCUCCAAGGGCCUGGUAUAGCAGAAUAGAUGGCUAUCUGACCAGUCAAGGAUUUGAAAGAAGUCUUAGCGAGCCAACUCUGUAUGUUAAAUCAACUAGUGCUGAAACUCAGCUCAUUGUCUCAAUAUAUGUCGAUGACCUACUGGUGACAGGAGGAGAUCAUGAGAUGCUAAGCAGUUUUAAAGUCAAAAUGCAACAGCACUUUGAAAUGUCAGACUUGGGAUUGAUGUCUUACUUCUUAGGCAUGGAAGUAACUCAAGCUAAGAAUGGGAUUUGGCUAAGUCAAAAGACCUUUGCUAUGAAGGUUCUCAACAAAUUCUCAAUGGAGAAUUGCAAAGCAACCAGCACACCAGUUGCUGUUGGAGAAAAACUCUCGAGCCAAGACAAGCAUGAAAAGGUUUGUGAAACAACCUAUCGAAGUCUAGUUAGAUGUUUGUUGUAUUUGACUGCUACUAGACCUGACAUAAUGUAUGCUGUGAGUCUACUCUCGAGGUUUAUGCAUUCUUCAAAUGAAAGUCAUUUUAGAGCUGCAAAAAGGGUUCUAAGAUACAUCAAAGGAACUUUGUCCUAUGGAAUGCAGUUUACCAAGGCUGAGAACUUGAGGCUAGUUGGAUAUUGUGACAGUGAUUGGGCUGGUUCUUUGGAUGACAUGAAGAGCACUACAGGUUAUGCAUUCAACAUAGGCUCUGCUAUGAUAUGCUGGAGCUCAAAGAAGCAAGGAGUAGUGGCUCAGUCGACUGCAGAAGCAGAAUAUGUGGCUGCUGCUGCAGCAGUCAAUCAAGCCAUAUGGCUUAGAAAAAUUUUGAAAGAUAUCAAUCAUGAGCAAAAGGAAGCAACUGAGAUAAUGUCUGACAACCAAUCAGCAGUUGCUAUUGCAAAGAAUCCUGUUUUUCAUGGAAGGACCAAGCACUUCAACAUCAAACUUCAUGCAGUUCGGGAAAUGGAACAAGCUCAUGUUGUUAAGCUGAUACAUUGCAGUUCUGAAGAGCAAAUUACUGAUAUUUUAACAAAAGCACUAAGUGUUUCCAAGUUUCAACACCUGAGAGCUAAUAUGGGAGUUUGCAACAUGCUAACCAAGGAGGAGUGUUGAAGUAAUGGUCAGCAUGCAGCAACCAAGACUGUCAAAGGCACUACAUGCAGAAGCUGCUGGUUCACCUAGUCAGCAAGCUGUUUAUGUUUCAUUUUGUAAUUUUAAGUUAGAGUAAUGUAACUUAGUUGCUUUAUAACUAUGUUAGGUUUAUGUUUGAUGUAAUUUUGAUGUUGACUGAGCUGAUAAAUCAGCUUUGUUUGUUUAUUCAAGCUAAUUAGCACAAGUUACUAUGUGUAUUAGUGGUAGUAGGUGAAGUUUAGGUCAACCUACUGUUUUGUCAAGAUUGUAAACUUGUUUUAUGUAUUGGCUUUGUGCCAUAUUUAGUUUGAUGAAUGAAUUCAAGAAGUUAUCAUCCAUAUGCUCUCCAUUUUUAGUUUUGCUUAAAAAUCCAUUUGAGUUUUCUGCUUUGUUUCUCCUACAAGUCACGAGACUUGCCAUACAAGCAUUCUGCUGAAGCUUGCUGCUGCUGCCUCUUGCACCAACAAGAGGUCUAAGCUUUCCAAACUUUUAAGCCCUUUUAAAAAUUGGGGGAAUUCACUAAGAUUGCAAGAUGACAAAAAUAAGCUUGUAAGAUUAACAGUAGAAGUUGUAUUAGAUGUUAAGGAUAGGCUGUUAUAUGAAAGGUCAAGAUAUUCGAGAUUUGGAAGGUUUGAGAACAUGCGAAACUCUAUGACACCACUAAGAUAAUUUGAGGAUAAGCUAAGUUGGGUAAGAUUGAGAAGUUGGAAUAUUGAAGAUGGAAGAGGACCUUGGAGUUUAUUAUUCUCUAACCAUAUCCAUUCUAGUGAUUUGGAUUGGAAUUCUUUGAUAUGCCCACUGAAUUGAUUUUGAGAGAGAUAUAUUGUCUUUAAGGAGGGAGCAAUAUACAACCAUGACGGAAGUGUUCCAUUGAGUAAAUUGUCAGAUAAGUCUAAAUAUAUUAGAUUAUGAAAAGCGGUUACCUCAUCUGGAAUGGAACCUUCUAAAGAAUUGUUAGAUAUUGUCAAGUAUUCCAGCUGCGUUAGGUUUAGAAUUGACAAUGGAAUUUGUCCACUCAAUUUGUUCCAUCCCAAGUCUAAAACAGUGAGUUGCAAGAGGUUCCCCAAUGAUCUUGGAAUCUGUCCACUCAAUUGGUUCAGCCACAAGUCUAAAUGAGUGAGUUGCAAGAGGUUCCCUAAUGAUCUUGGAAUUUGUCCACUCAAUUGGUUCUUCGACAAGUCUAAAUGAGUGAGUUGCAAGAGGUUCCCCAAUUUUCUUGGAAUUUGUCCACUCAAUUGGUUCUCCGACAAGUCUAAAUGAGUGAGUUUCAAGAGAUUCCCCAGUGAUCUUGGAACCAGUCCUGAUAAGUUGGAAUGGGAGAGAACUAAAAACUUCAAGGACACAAGAUUCCCCAUCGAGUCAGGCAAUCCUCCACAAAUAUUUGCGUCUGAAAUUAUCAAUUGUUCAAGAUUGCUGCUCCGAUUGAACUUCAAAGGAUCAAGAUUGAGGUUUUGGUUGCCUCCCAAGUUGAGGAGAUUGAGGUUUGGCAAAUCAAAAAUGUUUUUUGGGAAUUUUCCUUGCAAAUCACAACCAACAAGACUGAGAGACCUUAGAGAAGAGGAUAGAUUCAUGAAGACAUGAGCAUUAACUGAAGACAUGUCCAUUUCAUCCAAAAACAGACGUCUGACCUCGGUUAGGUUGUGAACAAGACCCUCCAGAGCAUAUUUGUCAAUUGUUAAUAGUUCAUCAAACCCAGAAAGAUCAAGUGAAACCAAUUUUGACAGGUGGGAGACUUGGGAUGGGACUUCUGAAAACCAUGUAUUGGAAAGGUUGAGGUAGAAUAGGCUUGUAAACCGACCGAACUCGGAUGGAAUUUUGGAAGAAUUAAAAUCAUUGUAGGCAAGGUUGAGUUUUUGAAGGUGAGGAAGAAGGAAGAGAGUGGUAUUGGAAGGGAAGGUGCCAUAUAGCCAACUGCAGCUCAAGUCAAGGGCAAUAACAUGAGCAUUUAGGUGGUCACAAGUGACCCCAUCCCAUGAGCAGCAAUCUGUACCCUCCUUCCAUGAAUUUGUCUUGGGAUAAGAUUUAAGGCCAGCAAAAUAAUCGCAAUGAUCAAAAGAAGCAUCCUCUCUUAUGGAAAAGGAGUCCUUAAACUGGAUUAGUGAAGAGCAGGAGUGAGAUCCUGAAGAAGAAAAAGAAGCAUAAAGAUGGAGAAAGAAGAGGAAUAGGGAGAGAAAGAGAUAGGAGGCCAUGUUAUGUUGGUAGAGGAAGAUGAAGGAUAGGAAUGGUAUUUAUAGGCAACAAAUAAUACCACAACAUUGGUGUUACAGUCUUUUUUCUUUUACAUUGAAAAGCUAUGGAUAUUAGAUUUUCAAAAUUUUUGUAUUUUUCACAAUCAUCAACAACCACUUUGUCUUCAUUUUACCAUAUAUUUUUCAUUCUUAAAAUUGGAUUAUUUUCUUUUAGCAAAAUCUUGUAUUUCAUUUGAACUCCCUAAACAACUAAAAAAUUAAGAUUGAUAAAAUUACAAAGUAGAUUGACUUAGUCUUCUUCCUUGUAACACGUAAAGAAUUUCCACGCAAAAGAACAAAAUUGUGCUCUAUUCUUUACGUUUGAGGAAGAAGACUGCUGGAAUUUUAAUCCACUGAUUCCAUAAAAACGUGUAUACUUAUAUAUAUAUAUAUUUAUAACCUCAUAAUUUAAAUCUAAAAUCUCAUUUGUUAUAAAUUCUGAUAAAUUUAUUUGGGAAUUGCUAUUUUUCAUUCGUUAAUUAUUUCUCUUUUAAUCGAGUAAAAAAUUAAAACUAAAGACAUAAUGAUUUAUUUGGUAUUUUUUAACUUCGCAAACGAAAAAUUAUUUUAGCUUUCUAUUUUUUUUUAUCUCUUUUAGUCUUGAAAUUUAUAUGGUUCAUUAAAUCACCCAAAAAAAUGAUGAAAAAAAUAACAAAACUAGCACCUACGUGGCUGAUGUUGACCCUUAAUAGUUAAUGGCAACACCUAUGUAGUUGUUAACAGAUACCACACCAACACUGUUUGUUGACGUGACAAUGCCACAUGAUCAAUAAUCGCAGACAUGGUAGCGCCACGCCAUCGCCCAUUGAUGACAUAUUAACCUUUGAGUUAAACUCAAAUAAUUUGGUCCCAAAUAGUUUUCAACACAAAAGAAUAGAGGAAGAAGACUGCUACAGGUUUAACUAUCAAUUGUCUAUUGACUAUACUUUUAACUCCACUAAAAAAGACCAAGACUAAGACUAUCAAUUGUCUAUUGACUACACUUUAACUCGACAAAAAAAGACCAAGACUAAGACUAUCAAUUGUCUAUUGGCUUCACACUUGCUGUUGCUUCCUCCUAUUUCUCUCACCCAAACUUAAUUUACAAGCAAUGUGGAAAUUUUGGACAUUUGCCCACAACGUACAAUACUUCCACACCAUUUGCAGUAUUGACUACGUUUACUUGAGGGAAAACAAAGACAUGAACGCUGGAAAUUUUAACUAGUUUGUACCGUCAAUGAAGCUACGUACCUAAAAGCCAUUUAGGAUAUCAAUUCCUGUAAUUGGAGUAAUCUCAUCGUUGCUGCAAUCUUUUGACAGUUUAAUCGAAUCUUAAAUAUGUUACUCUGCAAUGCUAUUGUAAAUAUUUUUCUUAAAUUUGUCGAUAGAUUUAUAGGUUUGGCACAAAAUUAAGAAUACACAAAGGCAGGUUGAAUUAUUCCAUGUUUGAACAUCUGCAACAUAAAUGCAUAUGGCAAAAGGGCUCAAACCAUACCUUAUGUUCAUGAAUUCUCAUCAUCACGUGUUUAUAAAUGCAACUCAAACUUCAAUAAUUGAAUCUUUUGUAAUUCUACAUGUAUUUUUUUAUUAUGGCGAGCAGUAUAAUGUUUACUAAAAAUUGAAAUUCAAGAAAGAAGACAUAUAUAGUUGCACCAUACAAGAUGUUACACUCGAACUAAACGCUUACAAAUAGUACGAAAUGCAAUUGAAUACAGAGGAAUUGGUACAAUCAUAAAAACAGACACAUACCAAUGCAACUUUUCACCAUAGGAAAAACUUUCUGACAGACUACUAAACAAGAAAUUAUGAAGACACAGUAGAAAUGCUUUAACUUCAUUUGCACCAACUAGAUCAUUCUUCAUCCACUCAUGCGAUUGCUAUAUUUUGGCUUUCUUCUUCGCCUCUUCUCAUGUUGGUCUUCAACCAAAUUCACGAACCUUUUCACCUUAUCGGUUUGGAAAACAACACAUCCCAUGGCCAUUCCAAACACUACCCCGGAUCCAUAACCUAUCAACACCACUUUCCAACCAAAAGCAAUGUUUGCUUUUGAGCCAUCCUUUUCCAGCACAUUUGGAGGUGGUGUCUCAUUGAUGCUGCAACCUUUGGAGACUGGAAAUCCACAUAGUCUCUGUUUCCUUCGUAUGAAUUGUUUCCAAAUGUAUUGAACUGUUUGCCUUGAGGAAUCUGACCAUGGAGUUGAUUUUCGGAAACGUUUAAUAAGGAAAGAAAUGCCGGAUCUGCCAAUAUCUCUGGAAUUAACUCAGUUCAAAAGACUAUAUAACUCGUAAAGUUUGGUCGAAGACUAGCAGGGGUCAAGAAAAAUAAUUACUUGAAUUGUCAAAAUUUUGGAUUUUAGAGAAACAAGCACUAGACUUGGAGCUAUGGUCAUGCAAGGAACCAUGCAUUUCAUUUGACUUUAGUACAAGAACUUGUAGCCGUGGAAGACUUCCCUACCAAUGAGGAAAUGUAUCAUUGAUCUUGUUGUUCCUAAGAUCUAGCACUUCCAAAGACCUAAAAUUGAGGAUGGAUGGUGACAAAUGCCAUUCAAAUUGAUUUCCAUUUAAGUUGAGAUUACUCAAUUGGCAUCCCUUUGCAAAUGUUGGAGGAAUCAAUCCAUAAAACUUGUUCUUCUUUAGAUUCAAAAAUUCCAGGUUGUUGCUCAAAUUUCCAAAACAUUGUAGAAUAGUUCCACUCAAUUUAUUGUGGGACAAGUCAAGAAUUUGGAGAGCACUCACAUUGCCUAUCAAAGAAGAGACCUCUCCACUUAAACUAUUGUUUGAAGUAAAAAACACGUUGAUUGUCGAAGAUGGGAUUGGAAGAUUUCCAUGGAUCAAAUUGGAGCUUAAGUCAAGAAUAUUAAUAUUCUUCCAUGGAAGUUGCUCAACUUCUGUCAAUGAAUUGUGAGAUAAAUUUAAGUAACUCAAAGAGUCACACGUCACUUCUUGCAGCCAUUGUGGAAUCUUCCCUUCAAUUCUAUUGUUAGAAAGCUCCAAAGUUUUCAACUUUUUUAACCCUUUCAAAAAUCGGGGGAAUUGGCUGACAUUAUUUGAGCUUAAGGAUAGGCUGUUUAGUGAAAGGUCAAGAUAUUCGAGAUUUGGGAGAUUUGAGAACAUGCCAAACUCUAUGACACCACUGAAAUUAUUUGAGUAUAAAAGGAGCCAGGUAAGGUUGAGAAAUUGGAAUAUUGAAGAUGGAAGAGGACCUUGGAGAUUAUUAUUCCCUAACACUAUCAUUCUAGUGAUUUGGAUUGGAAUUCUUUGAUGUGUCCACUGAAUUGAUUCUGAGAGAGAGAUAUUUCCAUUAAGGAGAAAGCAUUAUACAACCAUGACAGAAGUUUUCCAUUGGGUAAAUUGUUAGAUAAGUCUAAAGAUAUUAGAUUAGGGAAAGCAGCUACCUCAUCUGGAAUGGGACCUUCUAAAGAAUUUUCAGCUAUUCUCAAGUGUUCAAGCUGUGUUAGGUUUACAAUUGACAAUGGAACUUGUUCACUCAAUUGGUUCCAUGACAAGUCUAAAUAUAUGAGCCACAAGAGGUUCCCCAGAGAUCUCGAAAUUGAUCCCUGUAAAUUGGAAUUAGAGAGAGACAAAUAUUUCAAGACGUGCAGGUUGUCAAUCAAAUCAAUCAAUUUUGAAAAGGAGGACAUCCAUGACAGAUCCAAAUGUUCAAGAUUACUGCUCUGAUUGAACUUCAGAAGAUCAAGAAUCAGGUUUCGGUUGUAUCCUAAGUUGAGCAAAUUGAGGUUUGGCGAAUGAAGAACGUUUCUUGAGAAUUUUCCUUGCAAAUCACAACCACCAAGACUGAGAGACUUUAUAGAAGAGGAUAGAUUGAUGAAAACAUUAGGAUUAAUAGAAGGCAUGAUAAUUCUAUCAAGAAAAAGAUGUCUCACCUCAGUUAGGUUGUGAACAAGUCCCUUCAAAGAAUUUUAUCAAGUGUUAAUUGGUCAGAAAAAACAUUAUGAGAGAGAUCAAGUGAAACCAAUUUUGACGAGUGGGAGAUUUGGGAUGGGACUUUUCCUGCAAAUAACGUUUCUGAGAUGUUAAGAUACACCAGGCUUGUAAACCGGCCGAACUCGGAUGGAAUUUUGGAAAGAUUAAAAUCAUUGUAGGCAAGGUUGAAUUUUUGAAGGUGAGGAAGAAGGAAGAGAGUGGUAUUGGAAGGGAAGUUGCCAUAUAGACAACUGCAGCUCAAGUCAAGGGCAAUAUAUAACUUGAGCAUUUAGGUGGUCACAAGUGACCCCAUCCCAUGAGCAGCAAUCUGUACCCUCAUUCCAUGAAUUUGUCCUGGGAUAAGAUUUAUGGCCAUCAAUCUCAUUGCUAUAAGAAGAAGCAUACUCUGUUAUGGAAAAAGAGUCCUUAAACUGGAUUAGUGAAGAGCAGGAGUGAGAUCCUGAAGAAGAAAAAGAAGCAUAAAGAUGGGGAAAGGUUAAGGUAGAAUAGGCUUGUAAACCGACCGAACUCGGAUGAAAUUUUGGAAAGAUUAAAAUCAUUGAAGGCAAGGUUGAGUUUUUGAAGGUGAGGAAGAAGGAAGAGAGUGGUAUUGGAAGGGAAGUUGCCAUAUAGCCAACUGCAGCUCAAGUCAAGGGCAAUAACUUGAGCAUUAAGGUGAUGACAAGUGACCCCACACCAUGAGCAGCAAUCUGUACCCUCCUUCCAUGAAUUUGUCUUGGGAUAAGAUUUAAGGCCGGCAAAAUCAUCGCAACACAAAGCAGCAUGGCCUGUCUGAGUGAUCGAAAAUGAAUUCUUGAACUGGAUUAGAGAAGCAGCUUCGUGGUGAGAGCAGGAGUGAGAUCCUGAAGAAGAAGAAGCAUAAAGAUGGGGAAAGAAGAGGAAUAGGCAGAGAGAGAGAUAGGGGCCAUGUUAUGUUUGUAGAGGAAGAUGAAGGAUAGGAAUGGUAUUUAUAGGCAACAAAUAGAAUCCAAUAUUAAACAAAAGAUUUGAUGAUUAAUACCACAACACCACUGUUACAGUGUUGUUUCUUUUAUGGUAUAAAGAUUGUUAUUGGAAGAGUUUGAAAUGCUGACAUUGAAAACCUAUAUUUUUCAAUACUCAUCAACAACCACUUCCUUUUUACCAUAUCUUUUUCAUUCCCAAAAUUGGAUACAUUGUUUUACCAAAAUUUUGUAUUUCAUUUGAACUCCCUAAACAACUGAGAAAAUUAACAUUGAUGAGAUUACAAAGUAGAUUGACUUAGUCUUCUUCCUUAUAAUAGGUAAAAAAAAAAUGUGAGUGUCUAUUCACUUAUAAUAUUUCCAUGCUAGAGGUAGUUUUUGGAAAAUCUUUAAUUAAAUCUUAAUUUCAUUUUGUUAAAAUUUUAAACUGGGUUAUCGAAUUGGCUUCUGAUUGUAGGUUGAUCAAUGAUGGGCCGAUUUCUUCUUCUUCUUUUUUAAUUUUUUUAGGGUUAAUUUAUAAUAUACUGCUUAAUGUUGUUGAUUUAUUUUUCUGGUCAUCGUUUCAUCCGUUUGUUGAAGAUAACUGAAUUUUUAUUGGUUGUAAUUGGACUUGGGUUUUAGCCAAUGACUAUAAUCAAAGGGUUAAUUUAAGGUUCCAAUGAAUUGUUUGAAAAUUUUAUUAUUUUUCUUUUCAAUUAGUUGUUUUACAAGGAUUUAACUUAUAUUAGUCAAAUGAACUGGCUUUAAAAAAUGAACAAGAACGAAGAAAUUGGAUGGUUAACUGGACACUGGAAAGGGGGAAUGCUAAAAGUUGUAAAUGUUUUGAAUAUAGAGUUGUAUUCUUUUCAUGGCUUCAGAAAAAUGUAUGCAAUGUUUGGCCAGCGAUAAUGGACAAGUUUUUUUAAACCUCCAUGCCUUAGUCAUGCUUUCAUAAACAUGGGCAGCUAACACCGAGAAGUCUCAUUGAAUGUAGUAAGCGAUUUAAAAGUGAAGCUCAUAUGCGACCGGGGAUGGUUGAUUUGAGGUUUAAUUCUAGCUAGUAGAUUCUGUUGUUUGUUAAGCGUCUUUUUGGAGACAAAUGUCUGAGAUUGCUGGAAAAUGCUUCUUACCAUCAUAUUAAUGUGUAUUUGGGUUGCGUUUUCUUAGAGUUUUGGAUUCUUUGCAUCAUAUCAUAAAAUUGAGUUAGAUAUAACAUCUCAUUGUUAUCUGUUAAUUGUUUCACUUGGGACCAGGAGCAUGCUGGCAACUCAAUACAGCUGUAAAUGCAUAUUUCAGUGAGGGUGAUAGGUAUAUAUUUAUGAAUUAUCCUAAUAUUUUUUAUGAUAAGUAAUUCUAGGUUUAUAGCUUUAUUUGUUUGUUUGUUUUCUCGUGUUUCCUACAAAAAAAGGCCAACAUCAACCAUAGUUCCUGUAGAUGAUGCCAUGGAUAUAGAUGAUCCAAAUGAAGUAGUACCAAAUGGGCCAGUCCUUCCAUUUCUACCAUCAUCUAGAACAAACGAACAAUCGUCUCUUUUUCUGAAAUUUCCGGCGCGACGCCUGUGCGGGGGGCCUUGGCCGGAAUCUGGACUUAGUCCAGAGAGUUUUUUUUUCUUUCUUCUGUUUUUUUUUUUCAAUGUUCAAAUGAUUUUUUUUCUCAAAACACUAAUUUUUAUGCCCAGUGAAACGGCGCCGUUUUGGCUAAGCUCCAAAACACCCAAAACGACGUCGUUUCACUCGCCACCAACUUGAAUUUUAUAACUACUCCUAUGCCAACCAGCAAACCAUAACAGCGUACAUAAAAAAGAGGAUGCUGACUUACAAUUCCUUUCAUUUCACCAUAACCAAUCAAAUCCCUUGCAAUGCUGUUUGGAUCACAGCAGCUCAUCUUUCAAUCCUAGAUGGCUCCGCUAAUUUUUUGAAAGCAUACAUAAACUGUUAAAGAAAUAAAUGGAUAAAACAACUACAGGAUAGAAGGCUGAAAAAUUACAAAGUGCAAUGACCUUAUUGUUAAAAUUUCAACGCCCAUUCCUUGGAAAGAUAUCUUCACCAUUGCCCACUCAAGAGAACUCAAAUAGCAGCAAGAUCUAGUAUAAAAUGUAACUCUCAACAACACACACAAAUGUUUGUUCUAUCAAGGAGCAAUACACAGACAUAUUCACCUACCCUUGGUUCUAGCUUUGCAUAUUACAUAACACUCUUCAAAUGUCUUAUUAAAUUCUCACUUUUACGAGUGCUAUGAUAAUCAAAUAAAAUUCAAUUCAAUUUUAAGUUCCAUAUAACACUUACAUGGCUACAAAAUGUGUGUGUGUUUAAGUGUCGACAACCACAAACAAUCCAAAUUUGCAGAGAAACCACCCAUUAUAUAUAGGUUUGCCAAUGAGAUGGCAAGCAGAUUGCUAGCUAGAAAUUCAUGCAUCUUUGAAUCACCAGUUCAAUUAAUAAGCUUAAGUAGAGGAAAUAGGGACUUUACAUCCACCAAUUAAAGCAACCUAUAUGUACCCUUUUACAGUCUGCAUUGUUCCAUGUUUCAAUUCAUUACAUCAUUCCUUCAACUCUGCUAUAUAUUAUUACCGUCUCCAGAUAACCAAACCUUUUACUGCUAACUUGUAAAAAAAUUAUGAAAAUACAACAGAGAUCAUUGAGACAUUGUUGAAGUUGGCUUGCAUGCAGAGCAAGAAGCAGACCAAGCUGUCCGAGCCAUGCAAGUUGCAGCUGAAGCUUAUGCUGCUGUUUUGUUACUUUCAAAUAGAUAUUUUAUUACUUAGUUAGAUAUGAACUAAGUUGUUGAUAUGCUUGAUGUGAUUAGGUGCUGAUAGAUUGAUAAAUCAGCUUUACCAAGUGUACAAGCAAUGUUUAUCAAGUUACUAAGCCACUUAGUGGAGUUAGGCACGUGUUUAGGUAACAUUUUCUUAUUUUUGACCAGCUGAUUGCUCGGUAUAUGUAAUGGAAUUGUGCCUUCAUUUGGUCUUUACUUAAGCAUUUUUAUUCAAAAAGCUCUUGCUGUUUUUGUUUUGUUUGUUGUGCAAGAUAUCAAUGCUUUAUGCUUAAGUUUCUGUCAAAAUUUCUCAUUCUGUUUUCUUAGUUCCUACAGACAUUUUGUUCUCCUUUCUCCUUUACUGAGCAGUAGCAAAGAUUAUUGAGACUAAAUUGAAAUCCAUGAAAGAAGACAUAAACAACACCACCAUACAAAAUGUCACACUCAAACAAACCAUUACAGAUAGUACGAAAUGCAAUGAAAGACAGAGGAAUUGGUACAAUAAUAAAGACAGCCAGAUACCAAUGCAACCCUUCACCAUAGGCACAACGGUCUACAAACAAGAAAUUAUGAAAAAUACAACACUAAUUCUUGAACAUCAUUUGCAGUAAUUAGAUCCUUCUUCGUCUACUGCUGCGAUUGCCUUUCUUUGACUUUCUUCUUCGCCUCUUCUCAUGUUGGUUUUCAACCAAAUUCACCAACCAUUUUGGCUUUCCAGUUUGGAAAACAACAUAUCCCACGGACAUUCCGAACACUACUCCGCAUCCACAACCUAUCAUCACCACUUUCCAACCAAAAGCAAUGUUUGAUUUUGAGCCAUCUUUUUCAAGCACAUUUGGAGGUGGUGGGUCAAUGAUGUUGCAACCUUUCGAGACCGGAAACCCACACAGUCCCUUAUUUCCUUCAUAUGAAUCAUUUCCAAAUGUGUUGAAUUGUUUGCCUUGGGGAAUCUUACCAUGGAGUUGAUUUUCAGAAACAUUUAAGGACGAAAGAAACGGCAGAUCUGCCAAUCUAUUUGGAAUCGCCCCAGACAACCUGUUUGAAGAUAGGUCCAACCAUUCAAGACUUGUCAAAUUCCCUAUUGAUGUGGGGAUACCACCAUUAAGGUUAUUAUGAGAAAGGUUGAGCCCUUUCAGUAAGUUAAGCUUCCCAAUAACCUUUGGAAUACCCCCUUCAAACUGAUUGUUUGAUAGAUCAAUGAUCAUCCACAUGGUGAAAAUUUUCACCAAUUCCCUAUCUUGUCCUUUCAUAACAAUUCCAAUGGAAUAGGUAUAGAAGUCACCUCCAUCAUCAUUCACCCCCAUGUACGACACUGUACUACCAAUCUUCUCUAGAUUUAUGAUAGCCUUGAAGCUGUUGAUGUAUCUCACUGGUAGGGGUCCAGAAAAAUAAUUACUUGAGAGAUCAAAAAUUUGGAUUUUAGAGAAAAAAGGGAUAGACUUGGAGCUAUUGACACAUAAGGAACCAUGCAAUUGAUUUGACUUCAAUACAAGAACUUGUAGCCGUGGAAGACUUCCCAACCAAUGAGGAAAUGUAUCAUUGAUCUUGUUGUUACCAAGAUCUAGCACUUCCAGACCAUUACAAUUAAGGAUGGAUGGUGUCAAAGGCCCUUCUAACAGAUUUCCAUUUAAGUUGAAAUUACUCAAUUGGCAUCCCAUUGCAAAUGUUGGAGGAAUCGUCCCAUAGAACUUGUUCUUCUUCAGAUUCAAGAAUAGAAGGCUGUUGCUCAAAUUUCCAAAACAUUGUGGAAUUGUUCCACUCAAGUUAUUGUGGGACAAAUCAAGAAUUUCAAGAAAAGCGGCAUUGCAUAUUAAAGAAGAGACCUCUCCAUUGAAACUAUUAUUAGAGAUCAAAAAGACAUUGAUGGUCGAAGCUGGAAUCGGAAGAUUUCCACUGAUCAAAUUGGAGCUUAAGUCAAGAACGUCAAUAUUCUUCCAUGGAAAGUGCUCAACUUCUGUCAAAGAGUUGUGAGAUACGUUUAAGUAAGUCAAAGAGUCAUUCCCCACCUCUUGCAUCCACUGUGGAAUCUUGCCUUCAAUUUUGUUGUAAGAGAGGUCUAAGCUUUCCAAACUUUUAAGCCCUUUUAAAAAUUGGGGGAAUUCACUAAGAUUGCAAGAUGACAAAAACAACCUUGUAAGAUUAACAGUAGAAGUAGUAUUAGAUGUUAAGGAUAGGCUGUUAUAUGAAAGGUCAAGAGAUUCGAGAUUUGGAAGGUUUGAGAACAUGCGAAACUCUAUGACACCACUAAGAUAAUUUGAGGAUAAGCUAAGUUGGGUAAGAUUGAGAAGUUGGAAUAUUGAAGAUGGAAGAGGACCUUGGAGUUUAUUAUUCUCUAACGCUAUCCAUUCUAGUGAUUUGGAUUGGAAUUCUUUGAUAUGCCCACUGAAUUGAUUUUGAGAGAGUUUUAUAUCCUUUAAGGAGGGAGCAGUAUACAACCAUGAUGGAAGUUGUCCACUGAGUAAAUUGUUAGUUAAGUCUAAAGAUAUUAGAUUAGGAAAAGCGGUUACCUCAUCUGGAAUAGAACCUUUUAAUGUAUUUCCAGCUAUUCUCAAGUAUUCCAGCUGCGUUAGGUUUAGAAUUGACAAUGGAAUUUGUCCAUUCAAUUGGUUCUGCCACAAGCCUAAAUAAGUGAGUUGCAAGAGGUUCCCCAAUGAUCUUGGAAUUUGUCCACUCAAUUGGUUUUGCCACAAGCCUAAAUAAGUGAGUUGCAAGAGGUUCCCCAAUGAUCUUGGAAUUUGUCCACUCAACUGGUUCCCCGAUAAGUCUAAAUGAGUGAGUUGCAAGAGAUUCCCCAGUGAUUUUGGAACCGGUCCUGAUAAGUUGGAAUAGGAGAGAUCUAAAAACUUCAAGGACACAAGAUUACCCACCGAGUCUGGCAAUCCUCCAAAAAAAUUUGCGCCUGAAAUUAUCAAUUGCUCCAAAGAUGAUAAAUUUGUGAUUGAGACAGACAAUCCUUGAAAGAAAAAAUUUCCUGAUAGACCUAAGGACUUUAAGGCCUGUAGAUUAUCAACUGAAUCAAUGAAUUCUGUAGAGAAGGACGUCCAUGACAGAUCCAAAUGUUCAAGAUUGCUGCUCCGAUUCAACUUCAAAGGAUCAAGAUUGAGGUUUUGGUUGUUUCCCAAGUUGAGGAGAUUGAGGUUUGGCAAAUCAAAAAUGUUGUUUGGGAAUUUUCCUUGCAAAUCACAACCAGCAAGACUGAGAGACCUUAGAGAAGAGGAUAGAUUCAUGAAGACAUGAGCAUUAACAGAAGCCAUCUCCAUUCCAUCCAAAAACAGAUGUCUGACCUCGGUUAGGUUUUGAACAAGUCCCUCCAGAGCAUGUUUGUCUCCUACAAACCCUGUACUGGAAAGGUCGAGGUAGAGUAGGCUUGUAAACCGACCUAACUCGGAUGGAAUUUCGGAAAGAUUAAACUCAUUGUAGGCAAGGUUGAGUUUUUGAAGGUGAGGAAGAAGGAAGAGAGUGGAAUUGGAAGGGAAGUUGCCAUAUAGCCAACUGCAGCUCAAGUCAAGGGCAAUAACAUGAGCAUUUAGGUGGUCACAAGUGACCCCAUCCCAUGAGCAGCAAUCUGUACCCUCCUUCCAUGAAUUUGUCUUGGGAUAAGAUUUAUGGCCAGCAAUCUCAUUGCAAUAAGAAGAAGCGUCCUCUGUUAUGGAAAAAGAGUCCUUAAACUGGAUUAGUGAAGAGCAGGAGUGAGAUCCAGAAGAAGAAAAAGAAGCAUAAAGAUGGGGAAAGAAGAGGAAUAGGCAGAGGAAGAGAUAGGGGGCCAUGUUAUGUCUGUAGAGGAAGAUGAAGGAUAGGAAUGGUAUUUAUAGGCAACAAAUAAUACCGCAGUGUUACAGUCUUUUUUUCUUUUACAUUGAGAAGCUAUGGAGAUUAGAUUUUCAAAAUUUUUGUAUUUUUAACAAUCAUCAACAGUCACUUAGUCUUCUUUUUACCAUAUAUUUUUCAUUCUUAAAAUUGGAUGCUAUCUUUUCGCAAAAUCUUGUGGAAAUUCUUUAGCCUUCUUCUCUAUAACACUUAAAGAAUGUGUGUAUGUAUUCAUUUGCCUGUCAACUAAAGCUAAUUAAUGUGGAAAUUCUUUUCCACCCAAAAGAACAAAAUUGUGCUCUAUUCAUUAAGUUUGAGGAAGAAGAUUGCUGGAAAUUUAAUCUACCGAUUCCAUAAAAAACGUGUAUACUUAUAUAACCUCAUAAUUCAAAUCUAAAAUCUCAUUUGUUAUAAAUUCUGAUAAAUUUCUUUGGAAUUGCUAUUUUUCAUUUGUUAAUUAUUUCUCUUUUAAUCGAGUAAAAAAUUAAAACUAAAAAGACAUAAUGAUUUAUUUGGCAUUUUUAAACUUUACAAAUAAAAAAUCAUUUUAGCUUUUCAUUUUUUUAUCUCUAUUAAAUCACCCAAAAAAAAUAAUGAAAAAGACUAACAAAACUAGCACCUACGUGGCUGAUGUUGACCCUUAGUAGUUAAUGACAACAUCUACGUAGUUGUUAACAGAUACCACACUAACACUGUUUGUUGACGUGACAAUGCCACAUGAUCAAUAAUCACCGACAUGGUAGCGCCACGCUAUCGCCCAUUGGUGACAUAUUGAUGUUUGAGUUAAACUCAAAUUACUAUUUCCUUUGUUAUAAAUUAAGAGUAUAACUAAUUUUGAUAAGAAUGAUUACUUUUCAUUAACUCAGUCUAAAGGACUAUAACACGUAAAGUUUGGCCUAUUGCAGAAUUCACAUGCAAUGCGGGGCAUUUACAUUAUGCAGAAUUCGGCACAUAUAUGGGAAUUUUUGUAUUUCCACAAUCAUCAUGUUGUUCGUGAUCAACAACUACUUCCUUUUUACCAUAUAUUUUUCAUUCAUAAAAUUGAUUACUUUUUUUUUUACGAAAGAAGUAAAAUUAUUAACAUUCAUGAUAUUACAAAGCCUUCUUCCUUAUAACACGUCAAGUUUGGCCCCAAAUAAUUUUCCAGACAAAAGAAUUAAGAGGAAGGAGACUGCUACAGAUUGACUAUACUUUUAACUCCACAAACAAAGACUAAGACUAUCAAUUGUCUAUUGACUACACUUUAACUCGACAAAAACAGAUUGACUAUACUUUUAACUCCACAAACAAAGACUAAGACUAUCAAUUGUCUAUUGACUUCACUUUAACUCGACAAAAACAGACUAAUAAGACUUUGGUUGGCUGUAAUGGGCUAUUGACUAUACUUUAACUCCGCAAAAAAAGACUAAGGCUAUCAAUUGUCUAUUGACUUCACACUUGCUGUUGCUUCCUCCUAUCUCUAUCACUUGCUUCCUCCUAUCUCUAUCACCCAAACUUAAUUUACAAGCAAUGUGGAAAUUUUGGACAUUUGGGCCACAAUGUACAAUACUUCCACACCAUUUGCAGUAUUGACUACGUUUACUUGAGGGCAAACAAAGACAUGAAUGCUGGAAAUUUUAACUAGUUUGUACCGUCAAUGAAGCUACGUACCUAAAAGCAAUGUAUUAUCACCGUCUCCAGAAAUUUUGCUAAUUCAAUUUCCCAAGAAAUAUGAUUAAUUUUGGUUAAAUUGGAGUGAACAUUACUAUUUCUGUUUUAGCAAUUAAAGCAACCUAUAUGUACCCUUUUACAGUCUGCAUUGUUCCAUGUUUCCAUUCAUUACAUCAUUCCUUCAACUCUGCUAUAUAUUAUCACCGUCUCCAGAGAACCAAACCUUUUACUGCUAACUUGUAAAAAAAUUAUGAAAAUACAACAGAGAUUAUUGAGACAUUGUUGAAGUUGGCUUGCAUGCAGUAGACAUUGUUAAUCUUAUUAUUAUUAUUAUUAUUAUUAACUCAUGAACCCAUGGUUACACUUCCAACAGAGGUGAGAGAGGUUAAGAGUAGCCAUGAGCCAUCUAGUCAUGCUCCUGUUGUUGAGGAUGCCUCUGAAACUGCACAAGCUCUCAGCCCGAAUUCAAAUCUAAAAUCUCAUUUGUUAUAAAUUCUGAUAAAUUUAUUUGGGAAUUGCUAUUUUUCAUUCGUUAAUUAUUUCUCUUUUAAUCGAGUAAAAAAUUAAAACUAAAAAGACAUGAUAAUUUACUUGGCAUUUUUUAACUUUACAAACAAAUAGUCAUUUUAGCUUUCCAUUUUUUUUUUCUCUUUUAGCCUUGAAACUUAUAUGGUUCCUUAAAUCACUCCAAAAAAAAUGAUGAAAAAGACUAACAAAUUCUAGCACCUACGUGGCUGAUGUUGACCCUAGUAGUUAAUGGCAACACCUACGUAGUGGUUAACAGAUACCACACCAACACUGUUUGUUGACGUGACAAUGCCAAAUGGUCAAUAAUCGCUGACAUGGUAGCGCCACGCCAUCGCCCAUUGAUGACAUGUUAACCUUUGAGUUAAACUCAAAUUACUCUUUCCUUUGUUAUAAAUUAAGAGUAUAAAUAAUUCUGAUAAGAAUAGUUACUUUUCAUUAACUCAGUUUAAAGGACUAUAACACGUAAAGUUUGGUCUAUUGCAGAAUUCACAUGCCAUGCGGGACGUUUACAUUAUGCAGAAUUCAACACAUAUAUGGGAAUUUUUGUAUUUCCACAAUCAUCAAAUAAUUUUCAUAAAUUGAUUACUUUCUUUUUACCAUAUAAUUUUCAUUCAUAAAUUGAUUACUUUUUUUUUACAAAAGAAGUAAAAUAAUUAAUAUUCGUGAGAUUACAAAGUCUUCUUCCUUAUACACGUCAAGUUUGGUCUCAAAUAAUUUUCCACACAAAAGAAUACUUUUAACAAUCAAUUGUCUAUUGACUAUACUUUGAACUCCACAAAAAAGACUAAGACCUUCAAUUGUCUAUUGACUACACUUUAACUCGACAAAAAAAGACUAAGACUAUCAAUUGUCUAUUGACUAUCAAUUGGUUCCAUGACAAGUCUAAAUAUAUGAGCCACAAGAGGUUCCCCAAUGAUCUCGAAAUUGAUCCCCGUAAAUUGGAAUUAGAGAGAGACAAAUAUUUCAAGACAUGCAGGUUGUCAAUCAAAUCAAUCAAUUUCGUAAAGGAGGACAUCCAUGACAGAUCCAAAUGUUCAAAAUUACUGCUCUGAUUGAACUUCAGAAGAUCAAGACUAAGGAUUCGGUUGUAUCCUAAGUUGAGCAAAUUGAGGUUUGGCGAAUGAAGAAUGUUUCUUGAGAACUUUCCUUGCAAAUCACAACCACCAAGACUGAGAGACUUUAUAGAAGAGGAUAGAUUCAUGAAAACAUUAGGAUUAAUAGAAGGCAUGAUAAUUCUAACAAGAAAAAGAUGUGUCACCUCAGUUAGGUUGUGAACAAGUCCCUCCAAAGAAUUUUAUCAAGAGUUAAUUGGUGAGAAAAAACAUUAUGAGAGAGAUCAAGUGAAACCAAAUUUGACGAGUGGGAGAUUUGGGAUGGGACUUUUCCUGUAAAUAACGUUUUUUAGAUGUUAAGAUACACCAGCCUUGUAAACCGACCGAACUAGGAUGGAAUUUUGGAAAGAUUAAAAUCAUUGUAGGCAAGGUUGAGUUUUUGAAGGUGAGGAAGGAGGAAGAGAGUGGUAUUGGAAGGGAAGUUGCCAUAUAGCCAACUGCAGCUCAAGUCAAGGGCAAUAACAUGAGCAUUAAGGUGAUGACAAGUGACCCCAUACCAUGAGCAGCAAUCUGUACCCUCCUUCCAUGAAUUUGUCUUGGGAUAAGAUUUAAGGCCGUCAAAAUCAUCGCAAUACAAAGCAGCAUGGUCUGUCUGAGUGAUCGAAAAUGAAUUCUUGAACUGGAUUAGAGAAGCAGCUUCGUGGUGAGAGCAGGAGUGAGAUCCUGAAGAAGAAGAAGCAUAAAGAUGGGGAAAGAAGAGGAAUAGGCAGAGAGAGAGAUAGGGGCCAUGUUAUGUUUGUAGAGGAAGAUGAAGGAUAGGAAUGGUAUUUAUAGGCAACAAAUAGAAUCCAAUAUUAAACAAAAGCUUUGAUGAUUAAUACCACAACACCACUGUUACAGUGUUGUUUCUUUUAUGGUAUAAAGAUUGUUAUUGGAAGAGUUUGAAAUGCUGACAUUGAAAACCUAUAUUUUUCAAUACUCAUCAACAACCACUUCCUUUUUACCAUAUCUUUUUCAUUCCCAAAAUUGGAUACAUUGUUUUACCAAAAUUUUGUAUUUCAUUUGAACUCCCUAAACAACUGAGAAAAUUAACAUUGAUGAGAUUACAAAAUAGAUUGACUUAGUCUUCUUCCUUAUAAUACGUAAAAAAAAAUGUGAGUGUCUAUUCACUUAUAAUAUUUCCAUGCUAGAGGUAGUUUUUGGAAAAUCUUUAAUUAAACCUUAAUUUCAUUUUGUUAAAAUUUUUAACUGGAUUAUCGAAUUGGCUUCUGAUUGUAGGUUGAUCAAUGAUGGGCUGAUUUCUUCUUCUUCUUUUUUAAUUUUUUUAGGGUUUAUAAUAUACUGCUUAAUGUUGUUGAUUUAUUUUUCUGAUCAUCGUUUCAUUCGUUUGUUGAAGAUAACUGAAUUUUUAUUGGUUGUAAUUGGACUUGGGUUUUAGCCAAUGACUAUAAUCAAAGGGUUAAUUUAAGGUUCGAAUGAAUUAUUUGAAAAUUUUAUUAUUUUUCUUUUCAAUUAGUUGUUUUACAAGGAUUUAACUUAUAUUAGUCAAAUGAACUGGGUUUAAAAAAUGAACAAGAACGAAGAAAUUGGAUGGUUGACUGGACACUGGAAAGGGGAAAAGCUAAAAGUUGUAAAUGUUUUGAAUAUAGAGUUGUAUUCUUUUCAUGGCUUCAGAAAAAUGUAUGCAAUGUUUGGCCAGCGAUAAUGGACAAGUUUUUUUAAACCUCCAUGCCUAAGUCAUGCUUUCAUAAACAUGGGCAGCUAACACCGAGAAGUCAGUAAGCGAUUUAAAAGUGAAGCUCAUAUGCGUCAUUGCUACUCGCUUUGCAGCUAAACUCCUGAGUGACCGGGGAUGGUUGAUUUGAGGUUUAAUUCUAGCUAGUAGAUUCUUAGGUUUGUUAAGGGUCUUUUUGGAGACAAAUGUCUGAGAUUGCUGGAAAAUGCUUCUUACCAUCAUAUUAAUGUCUAUUCGGGUUGCGUUUUCUUAGAGUUUUGGAUUCUUUGCAUCUUAUCAUAAAAUUGAGUUAGAUAUAACAUGUCAUUGUUAUCUGUUAAUUGUUUCACUUGGGACCAGGAGCAUGGUGGCAACUCAAUACAGCUGUAAAUGCAUAUUUCAGCGAGGGUGAUAGGUAUAUAUUUAUGAAUUAUGCUAAUAUUUUGUUAUGAUAAGUAAUUCUAGGUUUAUAGCUUUAUUGGUUUGUUUGUUUUCUCAUGUUUCCUACAAAAAUAAGGCCAACAUCAACCAUAGUUUCUGUAGAUUAUGCCAUGGAUAUAAAUGAUCCAAAUGAAGUUGUACCAAAUGGGCCAGUCCCUUCCAUUUCUACCAUCAUCUAGAACAAACGAACAAUCGUCUCUUCAUCAUCGAAACUUCCAUAGCAGUUUCUUCGAUGGUGAUUCUGGUUCAACUUAUGAACCAAUUGAUACAUAUCCAACAGAGGUGAGAGGGGUUAAGUAUAGCCAUGAGCCAUCUAGUCAUGCUCCUGUUGUUGAGGAUGCCUCUGAAACUGCACAAGCUCUCGGCCCGAAUUCCCAUGAGACUGUUACAAUUGGUGAAGUAGGUGACGAUUCAAUUGCGCAGCCAAGGUGGCAGAAUGAUAACUGUAACAACCAGCAUGUUACACCCAGCGCUCCUGCCUUUGAUAAUUUGCUAGACUAUGGCGAUGACAUUGAAGAACAAAUGAUUCAAGCUGCCAUUGAGGCCUCUAAGCGGGAUGCUGAGGCAAGUUUUAAAAAAAGGACGCUUCCAAUUUGAUAGUGUUGUGGUGCCCUUCAUUCUUGUAGUUGCUGUAAAUGCUUGUUUUACAGAUUGCCUUUUUCAUGUUUAAAGUGUUAAAGUGUUGCAAAUUGAAGUGUUUUAAGUAAUGCAAAUUGAAUUGUUUAGUUGCUGGAAAUUGAGAUGUUUUAUGGCCGUAAUUGAGUGUAUAAAUGUUGUAAAUUGAAGUGUUUUAUUGCUGGAAAUUGGAUGCAUGGUAUAAUGACAUGAUAGAAUGUCAUUACAAUGUUGUAACUUUUUGAUGUUGUAAAAUCAUAUGGAUUAUGACAUCUAAACUAAUGAAAUCGUGUAACUUUUUAUUAAUAUAUGAAUAUUAUGUUGGGAUGUGAAAUAUAAUUCUCAAGUUAUUUAUUACUUCUAAUAUCUAAUAUUUCAUUGUAGAAUAAUUAAAAUUAUUUGUUUCACUAAUGAUAUUUUAGCACAUUCAAUAUCUAUUGCAGUUUAAAAAUAAUAAUUUAGAUUAUAUAUUAUUUUUAUAGUAUUAUAUAUUAUGAUUUUAGUAAAUUCAUAUAAUAGUAAUUAUAUUAAGAAUUUUAUUAAAUUAUAUUUAAUAAUAAUUAUGUUAAAAUAUGGUUAAAUUAUUUAUUAUCUUUAUUAAAUUAUUUUUAAUAAUAAUCUUUUUAAAAUUUAAUAACAAUAACAAAAAUCAUCUACUUAAAAAAGAUUCUGCUAAGGGUAUUCUAGUCAUUUUAGUUUUUUCCUUAUGCAAUUACAACAUCAUUCCAUUCAACCAAACACAAGAAUACCAUUACAGUUCUAUUCCGUUCCAUUCAACCAAACAAUUGAAUUACUGAUUACAGCUCUAUUCCAUUACAGUGAACCAAAUAUAUCCUUAGUAUGAAUGGCUGUCGAGGCAUGUAGAAAUUUGCACACAAAAGAACAAAAUUGUGCACUACUUAAAACUUCAAAGCAUGUGUGGCCUUAAUUUAAUUUUUCAUCUUUUUUAGCCCUUAAACCUACAUUGUUUAUCAGAUGAAAAAAUUAAUAUCUAUUAACUUUGCUAAUGUGCAAGCAUAUGCAACUUCUUUUAAAUCUAAAAAAUAUAAAAAUAAUUAAAUAUGUAUAAAUCUAAAGAUAUCUUAAACUUAAAACUAAAAUUUUUUAAACUAAUGCAAAUUUUUAUUAUUUAAAAAAUCUUAAAAUUUUCAAAUUAAAUUCCAUUUGUUUUCCACCGUUGAAGAACACCUUUAAUCACAACUUCAUGCUGUAUUGCCUAGAAAUUGUUUUGCAAAUUUAUUUUGUUUUAUUUAUUUCUAAACCCAUAUUUCUUUUCUAUAACUCCAAUUAUUAGAUUGUUUAGGGUUUUGAGUAACUUUCGAUUUUGGAAUUUUAGAUUUUUUAAAUUUAAAUAUGAAGUGCUCUUCUUCUUCUCCAAACCCACAAAUUUUUCUGCCAAAUUUCUACUCAAGGUUUUACUUUCAGCUAUAAAUAAAGCGUAUAUUAUAUUUAUAAUGAUCUAAGAAUAGUAGAGUCGAUGCCGAUCUACAUGAAAAAGGAUGAAAAAAAAAGGCAAAGAAUGAUAAUAUGAAGAGAGCAUAAAUCAAUAAAGCAAAUGAAAAACGAGCAGGAUUAAAGUAAAUGGGUAUUUAAUAUUUUUUUGUGAAAGUUCAAAGACUGAUUAUUUAUAAAAUUGGAUGUGGAAAAAUUAGUUGGAAUUUUUUUUCUUACACCAAUUGAUUUUUUAUAUAAAAUUUUUAUUUAUUUUUAAGUGUUGAAACCACUUUUUGAAAACAAAAAAAAAGUGUUACUUUUAUUUUGAAAACGGAAACGAAAAAAUGGGAGUCGCCACCGAUAUUUUUUUUGAGGUGUGAUCGGAUCACCUUAAAACAAUUUUGGUCUACGAAUAAAAAAAUGGGUCCGGGAGUCAAUUACGUAGGAGGAAGGAUUAGCACCCUCAUAACGCCCAAAAUUGAUACCGAAUUGCAUAAUUAAUGUCUUAAAGUCGAAUGUCGAAAAUUCAAAAAGAUUAAAAAUGAUCCCCUUUAAUUAAUGACAUAUUUUUAAACAAUAUUUGUAUAAAUUUGAUCAUAUGUAGAAAGGUCUUCUCAUCCUGAGUCAACAAAAUGUCGUAUCCCAUAAGUUAGGAUGCGACAUUUAGAUUUCCGAGCAUAAUCUAGCCUUUAAAACCCUUUAUUGAAACUUUAUGUAUUUGAAAACUAAAAAUGUUUGACCAUCUUGGUUCAAUGAGGAAAUCGAAAACCCGUAAGUUAGGACAAAUUUCCUCAAAGUUCCAAAGACGAUAUAUACGUUUGCCUUUAUUUAAAAAAAAAAGAUACUCGGUUACUUAAAUUCAACGAGGAAAAUUGGAGCCUAAUAAGUUAGGGCACAAUCUUCUCGAAAAUAUUGGAUACCGGGUAUUACGUUAUUUUGAAAACUUUGAAUAAAAUGAUUUCAAUACUUUGACUAAACGCAACAUUUUAAAUGAAUAAAAUGCGAUGGAACAAUAACGUAUAACGCGAAGUGAUAAUUCGUAAACUAAAAUAUACGCUAAUGAUCGACAAAGAAUCAAUGAAUACGAGUAAGCAAUACAAUACAUCAUAUAAGAGCAACAAUCUCAUAUCCCACAUUAUGCAAAUACUAACAUCCAUUUUAGCAAGCUAAAUGAAUUAAAAGUUAAUUAAAGAACAGCAAGCAAAUUAAUGUAAAUCUAAUAUAACAAGCUUUAAAAUAAAAUAAAAAUAAAAAUCAUGAAAAAGAGGAAAAUUCAAACACUAAAUUGUAUGUAUAAAAUAUUUGGCACAAAUAAUAUAUAGGAAAACUUGCAAUAAAAAAAUGAAGAAAAUAAAGAAUAAAUAAGAUGCAAAAUAAUACAUGUUCAUCUAAAUAAGUAGUACAUAUAAAAUAAAAUUUUAAUAUAAAUGUUGAAAUAAACAAAGCGUGUAAUUGAACAUCAUUUCCACUAACUAGAUCCUUCUUCGUCAACUGCUGCGAUUGCCUUUCUUUGACUUUCUUUUUCGCCUCUUCUCAUGUUGGUUUUCAACCAAAUUCACCAACCAUUUCGGUUUUCCAGUUUGGAAAACAACAUAUCCCACCAACAUUCCGAACACUACUCCGCAUCCAUAACCUAUCAACACCACUUUCCAACCAAAAGUAAUGUUUGAUUUUGAGCCAUCUUUUUCAAGCACAUCUGGAGGUGUUGGCGCAAUGAUGUUGCAACCUUUCGAGACCGGAAACCCACAUAUGAAUCAUUUCCAAAUGUGUUGAAUUGUUUGCCUUGAGGAAUCUGACCAUGGAGUUGAUUUUCAGAAACAUUUAAGGACAAAAGAAAUGGCAGAUCUACCAAUCUAUUUGGAAUGGUUCCAGACAACCUGUUUGAAGAUAGUGUUGGCACAUAAUUAAAUUAACCUUGCACAAAUAAAUUAUGAAAAGUUAGAAGAGUGAAGAGACUUGAAUAUGAAAAGUGAAAAAACUUGAAUAUGAAUAGUGAAGAGACUUGAAGAUGAAAAGUUAAGAGGCUUGAAUAUGAAAAGAUACACACAUGCAUGAAUAGUCACAACUCCUAGCAUAUAGUGAUAUAGAUGAAUAGUCACUUACAACUCCUAUAUAAAGAGUUGUAUGUGAUGAAGAAUUAUUAACUUUGUGUGCUUGAAAUAAAAGAUUAUUUGAAAGAAUUUUUUCAUACAAAAUUUAUUUCUCUUCUCCAUUAUAUUCUUUAUCAUUUUCUUUGUUUUAUUUCUCCAAAUAUUAAUCAUUCAACUACAAAUUGGUAUCAAAGCCUUGUUCAAUCGAAAUGAACAAUUCUAUUCCUCUUUCUUCCGUUCCCCAAUUAACCAAAGAAAAUUAUGGCAAAUGGAGUAUCCAAAUGAAGGCUCUUCUUGGAUCUCUAGAAGUUUGGGAGAUUGUUGAAAAAGGUUAUAAUGAAGUUGAGGGUGAAGAGGAGGAAGGAUUAACACAAGUUCAAAAAGAGAGUCUAAGAAAAUCAAGGAAGAAAAAUCAGCAAGCCUUAUUUUGGAUAUAUCAAGGAGUUCAAUCAUAUGAAGCGGCUUGGGAAAAAAUAGCUUGUGCCACCACGGCAAAACAAGCAUGGGAAUUUUUACAAAAUUCAUUCAAAGGAGAUGAAAAGGUGAAAAGAGUUCGGUUGCAAACUCUUUGAGGAGAGUUUGAAAGAUUGCAAAAAAUAGAGUCAGAAUCAGUUUCUGAUUACUGUUCACGGGUUUUGUCCAUAGUCAAUCAAUUAAAAAGAAAUGGUGAAACUAUGGAUGAUAUUCGUGGUGUUGAGAAAAUCCUCCGUUCUUUAGAUUCCAAAUUUGACUACAUUGUGGUUGCCAUAGAAGAAUCAAAGGACUUGAGUACCAUGACUAUUGAUGAACUCACAGGUUCGUUGCAAGCCCAUGAAGAAAGAUUAAACAAGAAGAAAAAGGAAGUAGAUCUAGAUCAAGCACUUCAGUCAAAGUUGUCUCUAAAUGAGAAUAAGGGAGAUUUUAAAAAUCAAAGAGGGAGAGAUCGUGGUCGUGGAAGAGGAAGAAAUUUUAGAGGAAGAGGCUCAAAUGCUCGUGAAAGAGGUGAAGAUGUAAGCAUGGAGAAUGGAUGGAAAGAAGCCAACCAAAGUCAAAAUUUUAGAGGAUCACAAAGAGGACGUGGACGUAGAAAUCAAAGAGGAAGAGGUCGUGGCUAUUUUGAAUGUUAUAAUUGUCGCAAACCUGGUCAUUUGGCAAGUGAAUGCUGGUACAAAGAAGAAGAGAAAAAUGAAGCUAAUAUAGUACAAAAUAAUCAAGAGCAAAAGCAAGAAACUUUGUUGCUCGUAUCUCAUGGUGGAGAGAUUGAUGAUGUCUGGUACAUAGACAGUGGUGCUAGCAAGCAUAUGACAGGUAACAAAAAUUUAUUUUCGAAGUUCUUUGAAUCUGAUUGUGGAGAAGUAAAAGUAGGAGAUGGCAAAGCUUACAAAGUUAGCGGUGUUGGUGAGUUGGAGUUCAAAACAAAGCAAGGAAGGGUAGAGAAAAUGUCUGAAGUUUAUUUUGUUCCUGGUCUUAAAAAUAAUCUGCUUAGCGUUGGGCAUCUCUUGAAGAAGGGGUAUGAUAUUCAUUUCCGAGACAUGGCUUGCUAUUUAUCAAAGAAAAAUCAGGUUGUUGCUAGAGUUGGAGUGGCAUCAAAUAAUCUUUUCUCUCUUACCCUUCAAAAUCAGAAUAUGUCUUGUUUUAUUGGUGCUCAUAAAGGAAUUUCAAAGUUAUGGCAUGAUAGAUAUGGACAUUUAAACUAUGGAAAUUUGGAGAUGCUUUCAAGGAAGAUGAUGGUUAGAGGUUUACCAAAAAUCGAUCGGCUUGAUGAUGUUUGUGAAGCAUGUCAACUUGGAAAGCAACAUAAAAUUGCUUUUCCUUCUCAAUCCUCGUGGAAAGCAAGAAGACCAUUGCAACUUAUUCACUCAAAUCUUUGUGGUCCAAUGACAGUUUCAUCUUUAGGAGGUAAUCGUUACUUUAUCUCUUUCAUUGAUGAUUACUCAAGAAAGUUAUGGGUGUAUUGUGUCAAAGAAAAAUCAGAGGCUUUUCAGAGAUUCAAAGAUUUCAAGGCAGAAGUGGAGAACUUUACUGGGUUGAAAAUUAACACCUUGCGUACAGAUCGUGGAGGUGAAUAUUUUUCAAAAGAAUUUGAGAAAUAUUGCCGAGAUAGUGGCAUCCGGCAUGAAAUGACAGUCCGCCAUACACCUCAGCAAAAUGGUGUGUGUGAAAGAAAGAACAGAACAAUUAUGGAAAUGGCUAGAUGUCUUCUUAAUAAGAAGAGGUUAUCAAGAAGAUUUUGGGCUGAAGUUGUUUCCUGUGCAGUUUAUCUUAUAAACAGAUCACCGACAAGAAGCUUGGAGAAUUACACACCACAUGAGGCGUGGUAUGGUAUAAAGCCUAGUGUUAGUCAUCUUAGAGUAUUUGGGAGUGUUGCCUACUCUCUAUUCCAGAUGCAAUGAGAAGCAAGUUGGAUGACAAGUCAGAGAAAUGCAUUUUUAUUGGCUAUAGUGAAAGAAGUAAGGCAUACAAGUUGUAUAAUCCGGUGACAAAGAAGAUUGUGAUAAGCCGAGAUGUUCGGUUUGAUGAAAAUUCCAUGUUUGAAGAUAUGGAAGUUGAAAAGGAAAAUUUGCCAAUUUUUCCUUUUGAACUUGAAGAAGAAGAAGAGGCAGUAAUUGAGAAUGCUGAAGAUGAUGCUCAAGUAGAAAAUCCUCCUGCUUCCCCAUGUUCUUCAUCAAAUUCUUCUUCAUCCAGCCCGAUCCGAAAAACGAGAAGCAUCCAAGAGUUAUAUGAUGUAACGGAUGAAGUUGUGCAAAAUGAUGCUGUAUUCUUUGCCUUCUUUGCAGGAGAAGAUCCAAUUUCUUUUGAUGAUGCAUAUCAAGAAGAAAUAUGGAGGAAAGCCAUGAAAUAAGAGAUUUUCUCAAUUGAAAACAAUGAUACAUGGGAACUCACAGAUUUACCGCCGCACAAGAAUUCAAUUGGAGUCAAAUGGGUGUACAAGACAAAGAUGAAUCCGAAUGGCUCUAUCAACAAGUACAAGGCAAGACUGGUUGCAAAAGGAUACAAGCAAAAGGAAGGAGAAGAUUUUACAGAGGUAUUUGCUCCAGUUUCAAGACUUGAGACAGUUCGGUUACUUAUUUCUCUUGCUGCCCAAAAUAAUUGGAAAAUAUUCCAAAUGGACGUAAAAUCUGCGUUUUUGAAUGGUGUUCUCAAAGAAGAAGUCUAUGUUGAUCAACCACCAGGGUUUGUCAAAAAAGGAGAAGAAGAAAAAGUUUACAAGUUGAAGAAAGCUUUGUACGGGUUGAAGCAAUCACCCAGAGCAUGGUACAGCCGCAUCGAUUCUUAUUUUCAGAAGUGUGGAUUCCAGAAAUCUCCAUAUGAGCAUACUCUCUACAUCAAAGGCAAUUAUCAAGGAAGAUUCAUGGUUGUAAGUCUCUACGUUGAUGAUCUUAUUUUCACAGGAAAUGAUGUGAAGAUGUUGAAAGAAUUUCAGCACUCAAUGAUGGCAGAAUUUAAGAUGACAGAUUUGGGAGAACUUCAUCAUUUUCUUGGCAUUGAAGUUCAUCAAUCCGAGAAAGGAAUUUUUAUUUCACAAGAGAGCUACGCAAAGGAAGUUCUAAAAAAAUUCAUGAUGGAAAAUGCGAAUCCAGUCUCUACUCCAUGCAUUACAGGUCUGAAGUUAUCUAAAGAGGGUGAAGGAAAGCUUGUCAAUUCCACCAUAUUCAGAAGUUUGGUUGGGAAGUUGAUGUAUCUGACUUCGACAAGGCCUGAUAUCGUGUAUGUUGUUAGCUUGGUAAGUAGAUUCAUGGAGAAACCUUACUCCAAUCACUGGGAGGCUGCCAAGAGAAUAUUGAGAUAUGUGAAGGGAACCAUUGAUUAUGGAAUUUUCUAUAAAUCUAAUACAUUAGUUGAUCUCAUUGGUUAUACGGAUAGUGAUUUAGCAGGAAGCAUUGAUGAUAGCAGAAGCACUUCUGGUUAUGUUUUUCACCUUGGUAGUGGUGCAGUUUCAUGGAGUUCAAAGAAACAAUCAAUUGUGGCGCUUUCGACUAUAGAAGCUGAAUAUAUCGCUGCAUCUUAUGCAGGAUGUCAAUUGAUUUGGUUACGUGGAAUUUUGGAAAGUCUUAAGCAGAAGCAAAGCAAGUCAACAAUUUUGUUUUGUGACAAUAGUUCUACUAUUUCGGUCACAAAAGAUCCAAUUCUUCAUAGAAGGACAAAACACAUUCGCAUUCGAUAUCACUUCUUGAGAGAACUAGUGAAUAAUGGUGAUGUUCAAGUUGAAUAUUGCAAGACGGAAGAUCAGAUGGCUGAUAUCUUCACAAAGCCUCUAAGUGGACAAGUCUUCAAGAAAAAUGUUGAAAGGUUGGGAGUUCAAAGCAAGUUUAAUUUAAGGGAGGCAUUGUUGGCACAUAAUUAAAUUAACCUUGCACAAAUAAAUUAUGAAAAGUUAGAAGAGUGAAGAGACUUGAAUAUGAAAAGUGAAAAAACUUGAAUAUGAAUAGUGAAGAGACUUGAAGAUGAAAAGUUAAGAGGCUUGAAUAUGAAAAGAUACACACAUGCAUGAAUAGUCACAACUCCUAGCAUAUAGUGAUAUAGAUGAAUAGUCACUUACAACUCUUAUAUAAAGAGUUAUAUGUGAUGAAGAAUUAUUAACUUUGUGUGCUUGAAAUAAAAGAUUAUUUGAAAGAAUUUUUUCAUACAAAAUUUAUUUCUCUUCUCCAUUAUAUUCUUUAUCAUUUUCUUUGUUUUAUUUCUCCAAAUAUUAAUCAUUCAACUACAGAUAGGUCCAACCAUUCAAGACUUGUCAAAUCCCCUACUGAGGUAGGGAUACCACUAUUAAGGUUAUUAUGAGAAAGGUUGAGCCCUUUCAGUAAGUUAAGCUUCCCAAUAACCUUUGGAAUCUCCCCUUCAAACUGAUUGCUUGAUAGAUCAAUGAUCACCCACAUAGUGAAAAUUUUCACCAAUUCCACGUCUUGUCCUUUCAUAACAAUUCCAAUGGAAUAGGCAUAGAAGUCAUCUCCAUCAUUCACCCCCAUGUACGACACUGUACUACUAACCUUCUCUAGAUUUAUGAUAGCCUUGAAGCUGUUGAUGUAUCUCACUAGUAGGGGUCCAGAAAAAUAAUUACUUGAGAGGUCAAAAAUUUGGAUUUUAGAGAAAAAAGGGCUAGACUUGGAGUUAUUGACACACAGGGAACCAUGCAUUUGAUUUGACUUUAGUACAAGAACUUGUAGCUGUGGAAGACUUCCCAACCAAUGAGGAAAUGUAUCAUUGAUCUUGUUGUUACCAAGAUCUAGUACUUCCAGACCUCUACAAUUAAGGAUGGAUGGUGUCAAAGGCCCUCCUAACAGAUUUCCAUUUAAAUUGAAAUUACUCAAUUGGCAUCCCAUUGCAAAUGUUGGAGGAAUCGUCCCAUAGAACUUGUUCUUCUUCAGAUUCAAGAAUUGAAGGCUGUUGCUCAAAUUUCCAAAACACUGCGGAAUUGUUCCACUCAAGUAAUUGUGGGACAAAUCAAGAAUUUGAAGAUAAGUGGCAUUGCAUAUUAAUGAAGAGACCUCUCCAUUGAAACAAUUAUUUGAGAUCAAAAAGACAGUGAUGGUCGAAGCUGGAAUCGGAAGAUUUCCACUGAUCAAAUUGGAGCUUAAGUCAAGAACAUCAAUAUUCUUCCAUGGAAAGUGCUCAGCUUCUGUCAAAGAGUUGUGAAAUACAUUUAAGUAAGUCAAAGAGCCAUUCCCCACCUCUUGCAUCCACUAUGGAAUCUUGCCUUUAAUUUUGUUGCAAGAGAGGUCUAAGCUUUCCAAACUUUUAAGCCCUUUUAAAAAUUGGGGGAAUUCACUAAGAUUGCAAGAUGACAAAAAUAACCAUUCAAGAUUUCCACUGAUCAAAUUGGAGCUUAAGUCAAGAACAUCAAUAUUAUGACGAUAUAUAAGUUUCCCUUUAUUUUUUAAAAAAAAACCUCGUCUCGAGAUAUCGAAAGGUCAUAUCCAAUGAGUUAGGACACAACGUUUUGAAUUCCCGAGAUAAGCUUUAAUUUGAAAUUUUUAUAUUUUAAUUAAAAAAUGAUACUCAGUUACUUAAAUUCAACGAGGAAAAUUGGAGCCCAGUAAGUUAGGGCACAUUCUUCUCGAAAAUCUUGGAUACCGGGUAUUACGUUAUUUUGAAAACCUUUGAAUAAAACGAUUUCUAUACUUUGAUUAAAUGCAACCUUUUAAACGAAUAAAAUGCGAUGGAACAAUAACAUACAACCCGAAGUGAUAAUUCGUAAACUAAAAUAUAUGCUAAUGAUUGACAAGGAAUCAAUGAAUACGAGUAAGCAAUACAAUACAUCAUAUAAGAGCAACAAUCUCAUAUCCCACAUUAUGCAAAUACUAACGUCCAUAUUAGCAAGCUAAAUGAAUUAAAAGUUAAUUAAAGAACAGCAAGCAAAUUAAUGUAAAUCUAAUAUAACAAGCUUUAAAAUAAAAUAAAAAUAAAAAUCAUGAAAGAGAGGAAAGUGCUAAGGGAUAAGAUUGAAGGCCCGUAAUAUGAUCGCAAGACAAAGAAGCACGCUCUGUUAUGGAAAAAGAGUUCUUGAACUGGAUUAAUGAAGAGCAGGAGUGAGAUCCUGAAGAAGAAAAAGAAGCAUAAAGAUGGGGAAAAAAGAGGAAUAGGGAGAGAAAGAGAUAGGAGGCCAUGUUAUGUUUGUAGAGGAAGAAGGAUAGGAAUGGUAUUUAUAGGCAACAAAUAAUACCACAACAUUGGUGUUACAGUCUUUUUUUUCUUUUACAUUGAAAUGCUACAGAUAUUAGAUUUUCAAAAUAUUUGUAUUUUUCACAAUCAUCAACACUUAGUCGUCAUUUUACCAUAUAUUUUUCAUUCUUUUUUUUUUUAACAAAAUCUUGUAUAUCAUUUGGACUCGCUAAACAACUAAAAAAAUAAAGAUUGAUGAGAUUACAAAGUAGAUUGACUUAGUCUUCUUCCCUAUAACAUGUAAAGAAUGUAUGUGUCUAUUCAAUUGCCUGUCAACCAAAGCUUAUUAAUGUGGAAAUUCUUUUCCACACAAAAGAACAAAAUUGUGCUCUAUUCAGCUACGUUUGAGGAAGGAGACGGCUGGAAAUUUAAUCCACCGAUUCCAUAAAAACGUGUAUAUUUAUUUAUAAAUAUAUAUAUAACCUCAUGAUUCAAAUCUAAAAUCUCAUUUGUUAUAAAUUCUUAUAAAUUUAUUUGGGAAUAGUUAUUUUUCAUUCGUUAAUUAUUUCUCUUUUAGCCGUGAAACUUAUAUGGUUCGUUAAAUCGCCCCAAAAAAUGAUAAAAAAGAUUAACAAAACUAGCCCCUACGUGGCUGAUGUUGACCCUUAGUAGUUAAUGGCAACUCCUAUGUAAUUGUUAACAGAUACCACAGCAACAAUGUUUGUUGACGUGACAAUGCCACAUGACCAAUAAUCGUUGUCAUGGUAGUGCCACGCCGUCACCCAUUGAUGACAUAUUAACCUUCGAGUUAAACUCAAAUUGCUCUUUCCUUUGUUAUAAAUUAAGAGUAUAACUAAUUUUGAUAAGAAUAGUUACUUUUCAUUAACUCAGUUUAAAGGACUAUAACACGUAAAGUUUGGUCUAUUGCAGAAUUCACAUGCAAUGCGGGAUAUUUACAUUUUGAAGAAUUCAACACAUAUAUGGGAAUUUUUGUAUUUCCACAAUCAUAAUUUUGUUAGUGAUCAACAACUACUUCCUCCUUACCAUAUAUUUUUCAUUCAUAAAAUUGAUUACUUUUUUUAUCAAAGAAGUAAAAUAAUUAACAUUCUUAAGAUUACAAAGUCUUCUUCCUUAUAACACGUAAAGUUUAGUUCCAAAUAAUUUUCCACAAAAAAAAGACCAUCAAUUGUCGAUUGACUAUACUUUAACUCCAAAAAAAAGACUAAGACUAUCAAUUGUCUAUUGACUACACUUUAACUCGACAAAAAAGGACUAAGACUAAGACUUUCAAUUGUCUAUUGACUUCACACUUGCGGUUGCUUCCUCCUAUCUCUCUCACCCAAACUUAAUUUAGAAGCAAUGGGGAAAUUUUGGACAUUUGGGCCACAAUGAACAAUACUUCCACACCAUUUGCAGUAUUGACUACGUUUACUUGAGGGAAAACAAAGACAUGAAUGCUGGAAAUUUUAACUAGUUUGUACCGUCAAUGAAGCUACGUACCUAAAAGCCUUUUAGGAUAUCAAUUCCUGUAAUUGGAUUAAUCUCAUCGUUGCUGCAAUCUUUUGACAGUGUAAUCGAAUCUUAAAUAUGUUACUCUGCAAUGCUGUUGUAAAAAUUACUCUUAAAAUUGUCGAUAGAUAUAUAGGUUUGGCACAAAAUUAAGAAUACACAAAGGCAGGUUGAAUUAUUCCAUGUUUGAACAUAAAUUCAUAUGGCAAAAGGGCCCAAACCAUACCUUAUGUUCAUGAAUUCUCAUCAUCACAUGUUUAUAAAUGCAUCUCAAAACUUGAAUAAUUGAAUCUUUUGUAAUUCUACAUGUAUUUUUUUUUAUGGUGAGCAGUAUAAUGUUUACUAAAAAUUGAAAUUCAAGAAAGAAGACAUACAUAGUUGCACCAUACAAGUUGUUACACUCGAACUAAACCCUUACAAAUAGUACGAGAUGCAAUGAAAUACAGAGGAAUUGGUACAAUCAUAAAGACAGACACAUACCAAUGCAACUUUUCACCAUAGGAAAAACUUUCUGACAGACUACUAAACAAGAAAUUAUGAAGACACAGCAGAAAUGCUUUGACUUCUUUUGCACCAACUAGAUCCUUCUUCAUCCAUUGAUGCGAUUGCUAUAUUUUGGCUUUCUUCUUCGCCUCUUCUCAUGUUGGUUUUCAACCAAAUUCACAAACCUUUUCACCUUACCGGUUUGGAAAACAACAUAUCCCAUGGCCAUUCCAAACACUACCCCGCAUCCACAACCUAUCAACACCACUAUCCAACCAAAAGCAAUGUUUGCUUUUGAGCCAUCCUUUUCCAGCACAUUUGGAGGUGGUGUCUCAUUGAUGCUGCAACCUUUGGAGACUGGGAAUCCACAUAGUCUCUGUUUCCUUCAUAUGAAUUGUUUCGAAAUGUAUUGACAAUCUGACCAUGGAGUUGAUUUUCAGAAACGUUUAAGAAGAAAAGAAAUGCCGGAUCUGCCAAUAUCUCUGGAAUUAACUCAGUUCAAAUGACCAUAUAACUCGUAAAGUUUGGUCGAAGACUGGCAGCGUCUAUUGACUUCAACUCUUGCUAUUACCUCAAGAAGAAAGACUGCUACAAUUCUAUCUUCUUUAAACCAGCUAUUUAAAAGCAAUAAGGACAUUAAAUCCACCAAUUUAUCUUUGAAGUCAUUCGUCAUGCAGCUCUGCUAUGUACGAUUAUUGGCAAAAAUCUUGAAAGGAGACAACCUCAAAUUUGAAGACAAGAAAUGAGCAAGAACAUGCACCAACGAAGAAUCGAUUAUUGUUUUGUAUUUGGUAAAUACAAUUUGAGUUAAAUAAUCAAGAAUGAUAGUGAAUAAAUAAGGAAAAACAAUGUAGAUUCAGAACCACAAUAAAUCAUAUUAAGCUCAUGAGUUUAUAAUAUAUAUCUCUGCAGCUUGAUUGCCUUGUUAGCUAUAAACAUAACCUGUUAAUUCCAUCAUUAAUACCAUUAGAUAUAUUUUGAUGGGGGAGAUUUUUUAGUAGGAAAACAGUUGAAGUCAUUCAAGAAGACAUAAACAGCUGCAACUACGUAAGAGUUUAACUUUGAGAAUAGAUCCUUACACGUUAUUGAAAUGCCAUACUAAAGAUAAAGACAUAUAGCUAAACGUUAGACACACCAUAAAAAUAUAUAUAGGUAAAGUGAUAGGGUGUGAGUAAGGAGGCCAUGCUAUGUUUUCAAAUAAGAUUAUCAUGGUAUGAAUUAUGAGAACCCUAUUUAUAGGAAGAACAAAACCGAUAUGAAACUAAGAAUAUAGUCCAUUGAUAAUGAAGAAUCUAAGAAAUUUAAUGGAAAUUGUGGAUAAGCAUCGUGUUUUUAUCUCUGAUGGAGAAAAGCUAAGAGUGUGAGGAAGACCAACUGUCAAUGUCACCCAAACCGAAUCUACAAGUCACCACAAUGUACAGUAAUUCAAAGCAGGAAAAGUUCAUAGUUUCAGAGUAAAUAACACUUCAAUGAUUGUAUUAUAGAAAACAUGUGUAUCCUAUAUAUGUUGAACAAUAUUAUCUAACAAACAUAUUUUCCAAAAGACUAGAAAAUUUGUGAUUAAAUGCUAAAGUUACAUAUUUUAUGUAAUUAAAUUGGUUAAUUUAUGAGAGUGCACCACUAAUUUUUCCAUGUUUUUGUUGAAUUUUGUGCAGGGGUGCAAUUUGGGGCUAAAUAGAAGAAAAAGGAAACAAUUGGGCUAGAUUGAAGAGAGAAGCAAAGAAGGAGGGCCAAAACAGAAUUUUUCCAGAUUAAUUAGCUGAAAUUUUUGUUGACUUAGUGGGAGAUUAUUUUGGGAUUUUUUUUUAUAUCAUGGAAUAUUUUUCCUUAAUUUUCUAUACUAGUUGGCUUUUAAUUUAGCAAGGCCACUAGUAUAAAUAGAGGCUACAUUGUUCAUUUUAAUCAUCAAGUCUUGAAUCAAUUCAUAAAUCAAGCUUUCAUCUUUCAAUACAUUCUCUCUUUUCUACUCACAAAUUUAUUUGUUGUUUUUAGUUUCAUUUACUUUCAAUCCAUUAAUUUCCAGCUUGUUACCACUUAAACCAUUUUCAAUUUCUUUUUCAAACUUUCUUUCCAUCUCCAGUAGCUAAUUCACUUUAUUACACCCCCAAAAUUCCAGCCCCCCAAACUAAAUCACGCCACCCAUUCCUUUCACCCAUUUUACCUUAUUUAAUUUAUCCAAUACCAACAUGCCCCAAACCUUAGCCAACUAAAUUCAUUUCCAGCUUUAGGUCGGAAUUAGCCUCGUCAAAACCCGUGAGUUACGAACCCGAGCAAAUUAACUCCUAAAUUUUAGUACUUAUUAUUUCUCCGGAUUAAGAGUAUGAUUUUGUCAACUCACAAAGUCAGAUCAACAUUAAGUUAAAAAAGACGUCGUUUGAUUUAGUGUGGUUAGACGUACAGUUGGAAUUCCAAAAAGAUCGAUUCUAAUCGGUUUUCUGUGAACACAUUGGCGUGCCAAUUGGAGAUUGCUGUUUGGUUCCGUCAAGGGAAGUAGUAACCCGAUUUAAAUGUCCCACGCGGUUGAGGGCAUUGGUUCGAGCUAGGGUUUUCUAGAACGCAAAGCUGCCGGAGUUCUAAAUCACGAACAUUUCGUGGUUGUUCGAUCAGUAAGGGUUAGUUAUUGGACGUUCCAUAACUAAUUUACACAAGGAAGAGUUAGUGUCUGAGGCGUCCUUGGUAGCUAUAACUAGCUUAUUGGAAAAGAGGAGUUCAUCUAAUUUUGAGAAUCGGUUCAAAGACGAGGAAAAUUCGUGCCUAAAGCUGAGCUUAUUCUAAUUAAAUUUUCUUCAUAUUUAUUUAACUAUUUUAAUUAUUCUGUUUUCAACUUUAUCUUUUCACGCAUUUUAUUUAUUUAUUUCAGGUCUUCAAAUUUUAUCCCCCCGAACUUCUUGGGCACGACAACUGCCCCAACAUAAAUCUGGUCAAAAUAGAAACAAUUUGCAGUAAACCCAGUCUCUGAGGGAUCGACCCUACUCCCUAUACUGUUUAAAUCGCAAAUUAGGCGUAGGUUUAUAUUGGUGGAUUCGACACCCAUCAAUUUGUAUGUCAUUUUCUAUUACUUGCAAGAAAACUACAGGGGAAAUUGCAUUUCUAAUUCAUCCAUAGGCUUUAAAUUCAAACAAGAAAAAGGAAAAAGAAUAUAUAUAUAUCAACAGGAAACUUCAAGGAGAGAAAUUUUGUUACAUCAAUUUUCCAGUCAUAUUUAAUCUUUACCCAAAGUUGAUUCUAGAUUAAAUUUGGAAAAAAUUAAAAAAGAGGACAUGUAUUUUUUUUUAUUUUUGAAAAGUAAAGGAUUAUAUCUCAGCCAAAUAAAAAAGUCACAAUGCAAAGCCAAGAGCCAAAGCCAAGCCAAGCACACACUCAACUAGCAGACAUAACUCAUACAGGACCUAGAUGUAUUAUUGAACUCUUAUAUAAAAGACAACUGAAGAUGCAAAGCUUAAUUGUUAAGCUUUUCUGAUGCUUGAUAAGCAUAGUUUUAGUUCAGUUCCGAAAUCUAAACUGCUUUGCUAUGGGAUUAUUUUUAUAAGUACAUUGAGAUCAAUGCAUGCUAUUGCGAUUUAUUAUCUUUGAUGCCAAGGAAAUGACAGAAUUCAAAGACCAAAAGGUUCGAUUACAUACUAGAUCAUGGAUGUAAGCCAAUCUACAACCUCUCUCCUCGACCUCCAUGUGAAACCAGCAUGAUUUGAAUUCUCAGCCGCAUAUACCCUCACAAACUCCUCAGCAACAACAUAAAACAUAUACCUAACACUCCUUUGAGAACCGAUAACUGCACAGACAGAUUCACUAAUGGAAGCCUUCAAGAAAUAUUGAACCACACAAUUACCACACUUCUGUGAAAUAAACUUGUUGGUGCAAAGAGACAACAAUAGACUGUUUUCAAUCUUGCUUGUAUAGCAAGCCUCGAGCCUUGCUGAAGAAACAAACUCAAAAGCAAGAACAGAAACACAUGCGAAUGAAAAACAAAAGAAAUUGAGAGAGAGAGUAUUUUGAAUGAAAAGAGCUGAUAUUUCAUUAACAAAUCCAGAAGGCAUAAUGCCAUUACAUAUAAUAGAUAACAACAACAAAAUGAACAAGUCUUUACCUAAUGACAUACCUAACACCACUAAAUUUACAUUGGAAAUUGUUAAUCAGCUUGCUUAAGUUUCUUUGCUGAUUUUUUCAGUCAAUCAAUCAACAAAAAACAUCAUAAGGUUUACCAACUUAGUUCAACAUGAACUAGAUUACAAAAUAAUAAUUAAAAAUACAAUCAAAACAUAACAAGUAGUUAGGCAACUUUAAGCUCCAGUUUCUGCACUUCAUAGCUCGACUGCUUGCUGCCACUUCUCCUUGCAUGGCCACCUUUGCAUGUCUUGCAUGGGAACUAAAUUCAACACUCCUCCUUAGUUUCCAUGCUAGUGACACCUAAUUGCCUUCUUAAUUUAACAAAUUUAGACACAUUGAGUGCCUUUGUAAAGAUAUCAGCAAUUUGCUCUUCUGAAUUGCAAUGAACCAGCUCGAUUUCAUGAGCUUGCUCCAUCUCCCUUAUGACAUGUAGCUUGAUGUUGAAGUACUUUGCUCUACCAUGAAAGAUAGGAUUCUUUGCAAUUGCAACAGCAGAUUUGUUGUCACAGUAAAUCUCUGUUGCCUUUCCUUGAUUUUGAUUUAAAUCAGCUAGGAUUUUUCUAAGCCAUAUGGCUUGAUUUACAGCAGAUGCAGCAGCAACAUAUUCAGCUUCUGCUGUUGACUGUGCUACCAGACUUUGCUUUUUAGAACUCCAGCAAAACAUGCCUGAGCCAAGACUAAAGGCAUAUCCAGAUGUGCUUCUCAUGUCAUCACAAGAUCCAGCCCAGUCACUAUCAACAUAGCCUAUUAGCUUCAUGUUUAUAGCCCUUUUGAACAAUACACCAUGAUCAAUGGUGCCUUUGAUGUAUCUAAGCACUCUUUUAGCUGCUUGAAAGUGCUGAUCAUUGCAGCAAUUCAUGUAUCUGGAUAGCACACUAACAGCAAACAUGAUAUCGGGUCUUGUUGCAGUCAAAUACAACAGACUACCAAUGAGACUUUUGUACAUAGUCUCGCAAAUUGGUUCACCACUCCCUUGCCUCGAAAGCUUCACUCCAACAGCCAUUGGUGUGCUUGUUGGCUUGCAGUUCUUCAUAGAGAACUUAUCCAGGAUCUUCAUAGUAAAAGAACUCUGACUAAGAAAGAUUCCCUUUGCUGUUUGCUUCACUUCCAUUCCAAGGAAGUAGUUCAUUCUGCCUAAAUCAGACAUUUCAAACAUUUCCAUCAUUUUUCUUUUGAAAUCUUCCAGCAUUCUUCUAUCUCCUCCAGUCACCAAUAAAUCAUCAACAUAGAGUGACAGGAUAAGCUGAGUUUCAGCUUGGUUCUUCUUCACAUACAGUGUUGGUUCACUGAGACUUCUCUCGAAUUCCAAACUGAGCAAGUAAGAAUCAAUUCGAGCAUACCAGGCUCAAGGAGCCUGUUUUAGGCCAUACAAAGCCUUUUUCAGUCUGUACACCUUGUGUUCUUUGCCAGUGACCACAAAUCCUUGAGGCUGUUCGAUGUAGAUCUCUUCUUCCAGGAAACCAUUGAGAAAUGCAGACUUAACAUCAAGCUGAUGAAUGGUCCACUGAUGUUGAGCAGCCAAGGCAACUAUCAUUCUAACUGUGUCAAGCCUGGCUACUGGUGCAAAUGUCUCCAGAUAGUCCAGACCAUACCUUUGGCUAAAACCUUUGACAACAAGCCUGGCUUUUAGCUUGUUCAGACUGUCAUCUGCAUUCUGUUUUGCUCGAUAGACCCAUUUUACUCCAAUGGUCUUCUUUCCAGUAGGUUUAUCAACUAGCUCCCAUGUCUGGUUCUUCUCAAUCAUGUUGAUUUCAUCGACCAUAGCUAGUUUCCAGCCUUCAUCUGCCUCAGCCUCUUCAAAACUGCUAGGUUCUGCUAUUGCAACCUGUGCCCUUUCAUAAAUAUCAUCUAGGGGCCUUGUGCCUCUCACAAGCACAUCAUCAACAUCCAUUUCAGGUCCUAGCUGCUCAAGUUCAGCUUGAUUAGGCACCAGGUCUUCUGAAGCAGCUUCUGGUUCAUUCUUUUCCCAAUUCCAACAAGCCUUCUCAUCGAAGAUGACAUCUCUGCUCACUUGAACUAUGUUUGUCAAAGGAUCCAGCACCCUGUAGCCCUUCUUAACUGAGCUAUAGCCUACUAGAACACCUGGUUGAGCCCUUUCAGAGAGCUUGUCUCUCUUAACUGCUGGUAUUUGUGCAUAACACAGGCAACCAAACACCUUCAGAUGUACCAAGGAAGGCUUGAAACCGGACCAAGCCUCGAAAGGUGUUUUGGAUGCAAGAGCUUUGGUAGGAAGCCUAUUUUGAAGGUAGACAGCAGUGUUUACUGCCUCAGCCCACAUGGUCUUGGGCAGUUUCUUCUCAAACAGCAGGCACCUGGCCAUAUCCAUCAAGCUUCUGUUCUUUCUUUCUGAUACCCCAUUCUGCUGAGGUGUGUAGACAUUUGUAAGCUGGUGUUUGAUACCAGCAUCAUUGCAAAUGGCUUGAAACUGAGCUGAAGUGUACUCAGUGCCAUUGUCUGACCUUAUCGAUUUCAGCUUGCAACCUGUUUCUGUCUCUACAGCAAUUUUAAACUUCACAAACACUUGAGCUACCUCAAACUUGUGUUUUAAGAAGAAAAUCCAGCAAAACCUUGUAAAAUCAUCAAUGAAGAGGAUGAAAUACCUAUUUUUCUUGAGUGAUUCAGUCCUCAUCGGGCCACAUACAUCAGAGUGCACCAGCUGUAGUUUUUUAGUAGCUCUCUAAGCUGAAUUUGUAGGAAAUGGCAGUCUUGCCUGUUUCCCCAUCUGGCAAACUUCACACACAUCAUCAUGCUCCACUGAGCUAGUAAAGUUCUCUGCCAAGCCUUCUUUGGCCAUUCGAGCCAAUGAUCUGAAGUUGGCAUGCCCAAGCCUUUGAUGCCAAAGCUUGGAAUCAUCAACAGAGGCUGUAUAUGCAGACUUUGAGUCAUUUGGCCAGUGUACCUCAAAGCAUUUGUUAGUCAUUGUGACUGUCAUAAGGCUUGAUCCACUUGGAUCAGCAAUGUGGCACUGUUUGUUCUUGAACACAACAGAAUAGCCUUUCUUGAGCAAUUGAGCUAUGCUGAGAAGGUUUCUGUCGAUUUCUGGCACUAACAGCACAUUUGGAAUGAUCUUGUUGCCUGUGGGGGUACAUAUCAGCACCUCUCCUCUUCCUUCAGCCCUUAUGAACUGACCAUUUCCAACCUUGACCUUGGUUUUACAACUUCUAUCCAAGGUUUUAAAUAAGGAGGCAUCUGGUGACAUGUGGUUAGUGCAACCACUGUCCAAUAACCAGCCUUUUGAGCAUUUCUUCUCAGCAGCUAAGAAAGAAACAGCAAAGACCUGCUCUUCUUGAUCACUACUGUCCUCAGCUACUCGAGCUUCAACCUUUGGUUGUUGAAAUUGACUCUGCCUUGACUUGGUUUUAUUUUUGCAAACCCUUUCAACAUGGCCUUUCUUCUUGCAGUGUUGGCAUACUGCAUCUGGCCUGAACCAGCAUCUGUCUUCUGGAUGACCUGGCCUCUUGCAAUGUCUGCAGGGCUGGUCAUUGCUCCUUGCAGUAUCAGGCUUAGGCCUGCUUUUCCAAGGCUUUUUACCUCUUGGAGCAUUGAUGCUCGAGGCUUCUCUGGCCUUGGCAUUGAAUGCACCUUCCUGGUGGUCUUCAGCUCUGCUAGCUCUCCUUUGUUCCUGAGCAUAGAAAGUGUUGAUUAGCUCAGUCAAAGAGAUGGUAGCAAGGUCUCUUGAGUCCUCAAGAGAGGAUAUCUUGGCCUCAUAUCUCUCAGGCAAAGUGGAGAGAACUUUCUCUACUAUCCUUGCCUCAUCAAAGUGCUCACCAAGGAGCCUUAUACUGUUAACCACUGCCAUGAUUCUAUCUGCAUACUGCUUCACUGUUUCUUCUUCCUUCAUCUUCAGGUUCUCAAAAUCCCUUCUCAAAUUCAAUAGCUGUUGUUGCCUUGUUCUCUCAGUGCCUUGAAACUCCUCCUUAAGCUUAUCCCAUGCCUGUUUUGGAGUCUCACAGGCCAUAAUUCUGGUGAAGAUGACAUUUGACACACAAUUCUGAAUGCAGGACAUGGCUUUGUGCCUUUUGGUCCUCUCAUCAGCAUGUUGCCUAAUCUGAGCUACUGUGGGAUUGGCCCUCAGUGGUGCUGGCUCAGCAUCUGUGUUGACAACUUCCCACAGAUCAAAGGCCUGUAGGUAAGUCUUCAUCUUGACCAGCCAUAUGUGAAAGCCUUCUCCAUUGAAGACUAGUGGGGCUGCUGGUGAAAAACUUGAGGAAGACAUUCAGCUUUCUUAGUUUGAUAAAACAGGUCCACUAAGAAUGAAGCUCUAGAUACCAAUUGUUGGUGCAAAUAGACAACAACAGACUGUUUUCAAUCUUGCUUGUAUAGCAAGCCUCGAGCCUUGCUGAAGAAACAAACUCAGAAGCAAGAACAGAAACACAUGCGAAUGAAAAACAAAAGAAAUUGAGAGAGAGAGUAUUUUGAAUGAAAAGAGCUGAUAUUUCAUUAACAAAUCCAGAAGGCAUAAUGCCAUUACAUAUAAUAGAUAACAACAACAAAAUGAACAAGUCUUUACCUAAUGACAUACCUAACACCACUAAAUUUACAUUGGAAAUUGUUAAUCAGCUUGCUUAAGUUUCUUUGCUGAUUUUUUCAGUCAAUCAAUCAACAAAAAACAUCAUAAGGUUUACCAACUUAGUUCAACAUGAACUAGAUUACAAAAUAAUAAUUAAAAAUACAAUCAAAACAUAACAAGUAGUUAGGCAACUUUAAGCUCCAGUUUCUGCACUUCAUAGCUCGACUGCUUGCUGCCACUUCUCCUUGCAUGGCCACCUUUGCAUGUCUUGCAUGGGAACUAAAUUCAACAAAACUCCUUCUGCCACUCGAAACAAUGACCAUUCCAAACAUUUUGAUAGACAAUACACAAUUUGCUUCACUACUUACUCACAUAGCCAAAAAAUAUCCAAUGAAACUGGCAAAGGGUUCUUCCAAAAUGGUACAUUAGCUGCCAAAAAGACAACCACCAUAUAUUCCUUCAUUCAGUAAACAGCUUCAAUAUGGAAAUAAGUUAUUAUCUUAAAAAUGCUUUUUCUACCACAGAAGAAUAAGAACUAGGCAUCUCAGAAAAUUUGCUAAAUUAAUGACUUUGCUCCCUUCAAAAUAAACAAAUGAUUAACUGCAUUAUCCCAAAGAGGUCACCAUCAACCUCCAGUUGAACUUUCAAGGAAUAAUAAUAAAAAAUAGAAGGAAAUAAGGGGGAAAAAACCCAACCAGAACUCAGUAAUAGCUGAGCCUUGAAGAUCUGUAGGUAGUAAGAGAAAAACCCCAUGACGACUAAAGUCCAGGCUUGAAAGAACCAAAAGGGAGCAACAUAUGACUAUGAUUCACUGGACCAAGAGAAUCACCAAUGAAUAAAGGAAAAAGGGUACUUUCCUUUAUACCUAAACAUACAAUAUUUAGCCUCAAAAUGGGAAAAUUUCAGGUUUUCACAAAGGGUUUAAGAAAGAGGGUGAAAGUUAAAGAACUUGUCUUUGUUUUGAUGUGUGGUACACGAGAUAGUGAAGGAAAAUAGAGGUGAGGAAAUAAGAUGGAGUAAGUGCCUAAGUGGUGAAAAAGGAGAGCCUAAAAGAGACAUUUUUGAAGGGUAGUUUAGAAGCUGCAGAGGCUUUGGCAUACAGCAGCUGAUAAUGAGAGAAGACAAACCAGAAAUGUAAGUACGACGACGAUAAAAAUUAAAAAAUUUUAAGAAUUAAUGAAAUAAAAUUUUGUAGCUUAGCGAAUUGGGACGAAGUCCACCAGUGUGAUGCCCAUAGAUCCAUACCUGGGAUUUUUCUAUUUGGGCUAACUUUCUAACUUCUCCCACCAGUCUUAAAACUUUGCAGAUUUUUUCAAUUUGAUCUGGAUUGUAUGAUAACAUAUCACUUUGAGAUUGGAAAAAAAAUUAUUUUUUUUAAAUUAGAGAAAAAAUAAAGAAACUAAAUUUCAAGCAUGCAAAGUACAAAAGAAAGAACUGUAUUAAUAAAAGAUGAGUUACUUCACUCAGAUUGGAGUACCCUUUAAACAAGUUUAUUCUUGUAGAGAAAGAAACUGGAUUUUGAUUUCAUUUGCUGUGGCAAAAUUUUUAAUUUCAACAACAGUAUAACAUAUUGAAAGCCUGCCUACAUCUCGGCAGAAAAAUUUACAAAUUCUUUCAUCAGACAAUUUAAAUGAUGCAAUGCAAAGAUUCAUCAAUGUAUGAUCUUUUUAUCAUAAAUGGCUGUUUUACUGGAAAACUUGAUAUGUACUGUCUUUCACAUUCUUUUGUGCUGAAUGGUCUCUGAAAACUGCAAUCAUCAACUAUAGAUAACCCAUUCCUCAGCGCCGCCAGAGCCGACCUUGUUGUUUCUGUUCUUGAACUUGCCUGUGUCAUCAAAGGCAGUGAGCAUUUAUCAAUGUUAUAAAAAUGGCAUAUCGAAGUCAGAUUUUACUUGACAAUACACAAAUGUAAGAAGAUAAUUCACCUUUGAUACUCUUUAGAACGCUCGAGAAACUCUUUCGCGAUGUCUUUUCUUUAAUAUGAUUGCAAUACUUGUCUGAUAUCAGCCGGACCAUUGUGUUAGUACAAAACUCCGGUAAGGAAAAAAACUCGAACACACGAUCGGAACUCGAAAAGAAAAAGAAGAAAUAGGACAGGCUCCAAGGCGUGUAUCAAGCCACUAUCUUUAAGGUUAUAUUCGCCCCCACUUAUCUUCAGUGUGCAAACGAGUUCCAAGCAAAUUAACCUCGAGGAUACAAUGAAGCCAAUGACUAUUUGCGUUUUGCACUGACGAGAAUAGUCCACUAUACACUAAGUAAUGUAUAACAAAAACUCAAUUUCUACAAAGGAUUUCUGCAGCAAUACUUUAUAGAAUAAUCUAAUAAUAUUAGAAAAUGAAGGAAGAGAAGAAAUAAUAUUAGAAUUUGUUGAUAUGAUUUCCAAAUGAAAUCCCAUUCCUAUUUAUAGGAAUUUUCAUGUCUCUUCAUAGAGACAUCUUUCAAUAGGUGUCUUUAUGAAUAAAUAAAUAAUAAUAAUUAUUCAUUUAAUUUUGUAACUAUUCAAAUAAUAUUUUUUGAAUAGUUAUAAUUCUUUUUUAAAAAAUCAAAUGAUAUAACUUUUGACCAAUGACCAAAAGUUUUAUCUUUUGAUUAAUUACACCCAUUCAUUUAUAGUUAUUGGGAUACUAUAAAUAUUUGAAAAUAUUCCAACAAUCUCCCCCCAUUUUCAAAAUAUUUAGAUUUUGAUAUUCUUGGAAAUCAAUUUGCAUAAAUAAAGGUGUCUUACGAUUGAACCUUCACUUAGUGAAAACAUGUUAAAGUUAAUCGAAAUUGUAUGGUAGACUAAGCUUUGAACCAACUAUUCCAUUUGAUUAAUUGAACACAUCUCACACAAUGAUUUCAACAUCAGUCAAUGCAUAGUAUCUAGGGACACUAUUAUAGCCAUGUGUCUAUGUCCUCUUUUCAUGAGUGCUGUCAGAGCCAAGCCCUUAAGCUCCUAGAAGCGGCCACACUUCCACUCACAUAGGUAGAUCCCAUCAAAAGUGUUCCCGUAAUUAUAACACUCUAACAUAUUUAUGUUAUGGGUCCAUUAAGAGUAAAUUACUCAUCCUUCCCUUAUCAUUACGGGUACCUAGCACUUUAAUCUUAGGAUGGAUUUAUUUAUAGUGCUAACAGUCACAUACUAAUGAUGUACUUUGUCUCAUUGAACUCAAGACUUGACGUUAUACCAAGCAUUGAGUCGAGUUUCCAUCAUGGGUGACUCUAAUUAAUAGGCUUGAGUCCCAUCCCUUUUGAGGUCCUUUUUACUGCAUCUCUAGCAAGACUUUUUGUCAAAGGAUCUGCCAAAUUUUCACUUGACCUCACAUAAUUAAUAGUGAUCACUCCAUCAGAGAUUAAUUGUCGGACAUAACUAUGUCUUAAUCCAAUGUGUCUAGACUUUCCAUUAUAUACUUGGCUAUAUGCCUUUGCUAGAGUAGCCUCACUAUCACAACGGAUAGAAAUAGGUGAAAUUGGCUUAAGCCAUAAACGUACAUCAUAAAGCAAAUUUCUUAACCAUUCUGCUUCUUUAGAUGCAGCGGCUAAUGCAAUAAAUUCUGCUGCCAUGGUGGAAUCAGUAAUACAUGUUUGUUUCUUGGAACCCUAAGAAAUGACUCCUCCACCAAGAAUGAAGAUCCACCCACUAGUAGAUGCAUGAUCUUCCAAACUUGUAAUCCAACUAGCAUCCGAAUACCCUUCUAAAACUGGAGGAUAUCCAUUAUAACACAAUCCAUAGUUAAUAGUUUUCUUUAAGUACCUAAGUACUCUAUUUAAAGCUUGCCAAUGCAAACUACUUGGAUUAUUUGUGUAUCUACUCAAUUUUCCAAUAGCAUAUGCAAUAUCUGGUCUUGUACAAGUCAUUAUGUACAUAAGAAAACCAAUUGACUUGCAUAUUUCAAUUGAUCAAUUUUCCUACCAGCAUUAGAUACUAAUUUUAAUUGAGGAUCCAUGGGUGUAGAUACUGGUAUACAGUUGAAAAUAUCAAACUUUUUAAGCACAUUUUCAAUGUAAUGUGAUUGUGAUAAAGCUAUAGUGCUUUCAUCUCGGGUUAUUUUAAUCCCAAGAAUAACAUCUUCUACACCCAUAUCCUUCAUAGCAAAGUUGUUUGACAAGAAUUUCUUUGUGUUUUCUAUUUGUUCCAAAUCCGUGCCAAAAAUGAGCAUGUCAUCUACAUAUAAGCAAAUUAUAACACCCUUUCCAUUAUCAAAUUUACUAUAUAUGCACUUAUCGGAUUCAUUUAUUUAUAGCCAUUAGCUAAAACAACCUUGUCAAACUUUUGGUGCCAUUGUUUUGGUGCUUGUUUAAGCCCAUAUAAAGAUUUAACAAGCUUACAUACCUUAUGCUCUUGUCCUGGAACAACAAAUCCUUCCGGUUGCUCCAUGUACACUUCCUCUUCCAAUUCACCAUUUAAAAAUGCAGUUUUAACAUCCAUUUGGUGAACAACCAAAUUAUAUAUAGAGGUAAGUGAUAUUAAUAGUCUAAUUGUAGCAAUUCUUGCUACUGGAGCAUAGGUAUCAAAGUAAUCAAUACCUUGUCUUUGUGUAAAACCUUUUGCUACCAACCUUGCUUUAAAUUUAUCAAUGGUUCCAUCGACCUUCAUUUUCUUUUUGAAGAUCCAUUUACAACCUAUUGGUUUGGAACCUGGUGGAAGAUCAACUAAGAUCCAAGUUUGAUUUCCCAUUAUUGAAUCCAUUUCAUCAUUUAUUGCUUCUUUCCAAAAAGUAGAGUCUUGAGAUUUCACUGCUUCUUCAAAUGUAACAGGAUCAGAUUCGGUAUUAUAACAAUAAGGUAUCUUAUUGCAUAUACUUUCACCUUUUCCUUCUAUAAGAAACAUAAUGAAAUCUGGUCAAAAAUCUUUGACCUUUUUAAUCCUCUUACUUCUUCUUAAUUCUUGACAAGAUUCAUCAUUAUUAUCAAUUUGUUUCAAUGGAAUCUCAUUCUCAUUUGAAGAAUGAAUCAAUUGUUGUGGUUGUAAUUGUCUUGAUAUAGAAUUAAAUCUAUUUUCAUCAAAAAUAGCAUCUCUUGAUUCAAUAACCGUAUUAAUUGAAAUUGAAUCAUUUGGUUCAAUUACUAUGAACCUAUAUGCCUUGCUAUUAUGUGCAUAACCUAUAAAUAUGCAUUCAAUUCCUCUUUCACCUAACUUUUUACGUUUAGGUGUUGGAACUUUUACAAUAGCUCUACAACCCCAAACCUUUAAAUAAUUAAGGUUUGGUUUCCUUUUCUUCCAUUGUUCAUAGAGGGUUAUUUUAGUUUCCUUAUUAGGAACUCUAUUCAAUAUAUGACAAGCUGUUAGAACAGCUUCUCCCCAAAAACCCUGUCCAAGACCUGAAUAUGAUAACAUUGAAUUUACCAUUUCAAUCAAGACUCUAUUUUUCCUUUCAGCUACACCAUUUUGUUGUGGUGUGUAAGGGGCUGAAACUUGAUGGACAAUUCCAGUGAGUUCAAAAUAACUUGGAUUAUAGUAUUCUCCACCUCUAUCCGAUCUUAAGCACUUGAUAAAUGAUUCACACUGAAGUUCAACUUCAGAUUUAUAAACUUUAAAUUUAUCAAGCGCUUCAUCUUUUGAAUGCAAUAAAUAUACAUAACAAUAUCUAGAACAAUCAUCAAUAAAAGUAACAAAAUAUUUCUUUCCACCUAAUGUAGGAGUAUUAUGCAAGUCACAUAAAUCACUAUGUAUCAAAUCAAGCAAUUUUGUUUUCCUUUUAACCUUAGGGAAAGGAUUUCUUGUAAUUUUAGUCAACAUACAGGUAUUGCAUUUUUCAAUAUUAUUAUUAAAAACAGGAAUUAAAUCUAAUUUAUACAUGUCAUUCAAUUUUCUAUAAUUCAAAUGACCUAAUCUAUAAUGCCACAAACAAAAUGAUUCAACCAUAUAAGCAGAAAUAGUAUUUUUAUUCUUAUUAAUAAUAUUAAGUUUGAACAUGCUUUCAUACAUAUACCCUUUUUCCCACAAAAAUUCCUCCCUUAGACAAAAUAAACUUAUCUGCCUCAAAAACAAGUUUGAAACCAAACUUAUUCAACAGACUUCCAGACACUAAAUUUUUCCUAACUUCUGGUACAUAAUAUACAUCAUUUAAGGUUAAAACCUUUCCAGAAGUGAAUUGUAGUUCAACAGACCCUUUGCCUUUAAUUUGCGGUGGAAGAAUUUCCCAUGUACAAGACAUUGUCAUUUUCACAUUGUGUGACUUUGUGAACAUGCUUUUGUCUUUGCACACAUGUUUGGUUGCUCCGGUAUCAAUCCACCAUGUAUUAUCAUCUUGUACCAUAUUAAUUUCAGAUAUCAUUGCAACGAACUUUUCGUUAUUAUCAGCCUUAGAAGAUGAUUUCUUCUUUAAAAAUCGAUAUUCAUUCUUGAAAUGUCCCGGCUUUCCACAAUGAUAGCAUGAGCCCUUUUGUUUCUUUUUGAACUUAGGUGCUCUAUCAGCCUGAUUGAACUUUCUUUUGAAUGGUUUAGUAGUCUGUACUUCCUCCGUAACAUGUACUUUGGCAUUUUCAGAAUUUAGGUUCUGAUCUUGUUGUCGAUACUCUUCUUCAAUACGAAGAUGAUUUGCCAAAGCCUCAAGAGAUAUUUCCUCUUUCUUAUGUUUUAGACUUCUUUUAAAGUCUUUCCAAGAUGGAGGAAGUUUGUCUAUUAUAGAGGAUACCACAAUUAUUUCAUCCAUUUUCAUAUCAUAUUGCUUAAAUUGAUUCAACAUCUUUUCAAUAUCACGAAAUUGUUCCAUAACAGAACGACCAUCAACCAUUUGAUAAUUAUUGAAACGACUGACAAGAAAUUUCUUACUUGUAACAUCUUCGGUCAUGUAUCUUGCCUCCAAUUUGUCCCAUAAAUCUUUAGCGGUGACGUCGUUUUGGUAGGUGUCGAACAAACCAUCAGAUAAACCAUUCAAUAUGUGGCCCAUGCACAUGUAAUCAGCAUUGUCCCAUUUUUGUCUUUCUCGGGUUGCAGCAAUAGAUUCGUUUUCAUUCUCUUCAGGUCUUGGAGUAUCCAAAACAUAAGCAAUCUUCAAAGUUGAUAACAAAAAGUGCAUCUUUUUCUGCCAUCGUCGAAAAUUGCCACCAUCAAAACGAUCAAGUUUAACAAAGUUGGAAGCCAACUCCCUUAGUGUUCCACUUUCAUGUGUUGUGGUAGUCAUCAUGAAAUAUAACCUUAAAAUUGUUAGUACAAAACUCCGGUAAGGAAAAAAACUCGAACACACGAUCGGAACUCGAAAAGAAAAAGAAGAAAUAGGACAGGCUCCAAGGCAUGUAUCAAGCCACUAUCUUUAAGGUUAUAUUCGCCCCCACUUAUCUUCAGUGUGCAAACGAGUUCCAAGCAAAUUAACCUCGAGGAUACAAUGAAGCCAAUGACUAUUUGCGUUUUGUACUGACGAGAAUAGUCCACUAUGCACUGAGUAAUGUAUAACAAAAACUCAAUUUCUACAAAGGAUUUCUGCAGCAAUACUUUAUAGAAUAAUCUAAUAAUAUUAGAAAAUGAAGGAAGAGAAGAAAUAGUAUUAGAAUUUGUUGAUAUGAUUUCCAAAUGAAAUCCCAUUCCUAUUUAUAGGAAUUUUCAUGUCUCUUCAUAGAGACAUCUUUCAAUAGGUGUCUUUAUGAAUAAAUAAAUAAUAAUAAUUAUUCAUUUAAUUUUGUAACUAUUCAAAUAAUAUUUUUUGAAUAGUUAUAAUUCUUUUUUAAAAAAUCAAAUGAUAUAACUUUUGACCAAUGACCAAAAGUUUUAUCUUUUGAUUAAUUACACCCAUUCAUUUAUAGUUAUUGGGAUACUAUAAAUAUUUGAAAAUAUUCCAACACAUUGCGGGCUACAUCUGUGAACAAAUCAAAACAAAUGGUACUAUAAUCAACAAAUGAAUAUAGGAAACAUAAAAUUUGAACAAAGGCGAUGUGCAGAGGAAAAAGCAACAACAUAAGACUUACAUUCAAGAAAUGGAAUAAGGUCUAAAAGUGCGGUAUCAUCAGUCUCGACCUUAUAUGGCUUAAUAUGGACACAAUUUUCUGGUUGAAGGCUAGAAUCAAAUGCAUGAGCACUCACAUAUAAAAUCUUGGUUGGAUCCCUGUUUAGCUUUGAAAGAUCCUGCCAACAGGAACUAUUUGUUAACAAUAAGGCUUCUUUUUAAGUAGCAGCUUGUAAAGGCACUGUCUCAUAUAUUAAUUCACAUAGUAUUGUAGAAACUAAGGAGGAGAAAACCAAAAGCAAAAUGUUUUGAAGGGAAGAGAUUGACUAUGACAUGGUAAAAGUAUCAUGGAGGCCCCUAUGUUAGGAGUUAGAUUGCCUUUUGCCCCCUUUACUCAAAAACUGGAUAAAUUAGUCCCUAUAUGUUAGAUUAAAGAGUAAGCUAGACUUUCUGUUAAAAAUUUCAUCCAUUGCUACUGUUAAAAACUGGUGCAGUUGAUAAAAUAACCAAACAGUUACACAUAAUGUGUCACGUGUACCUCAUGCUAAUGUAUAUGGACCAAUUUUUAACAGUAGAAAUGGAUGGAACUUGUAACAGAAGGGCUGGUUUGCUUUUUAAUCUAAUUUACAGGGAUUAAUUUGCCCAUUUUUUUAGUAAAGGGGUGAAAUGCAAUAUGACUCCUAGUAUAAGGGCCUCCAUGGUACUUUUACCACUAUGACAUACUCUAUAAUGCUUGCCAUCCUGAUAUUUAGUAGCACCCCUUGAUAGCCUAUAUCGUAUACAAUGGUUAGUGUCCAACCUUUCACAAGCAGGAUCAACAUACCGCAUAGCCAAAAACAAAAUAAUUAUGAACUUGCAGGCAACAUCAGUUAUAGUAUAUCUGAAAAAGAUAAGGAAAAAAAACUGUUACUUUCAUAUCUAAUUUCUUUAUAGUAUUAGGACAAACUAAACAAUGGAUAUAUCACAUUAUUAAGACUUAGCUAAGGAGCCGCUGAUAUACAUUCAAAUGAUCAAUCAUAAAGGAUGAACUAGGAGGCCUAAUGAUAAAUCAAAAUUACACCUAAACCAGUUAUAUGUCUAAAGGCAAUUGCACAUUAUAUCAAUCAAACAACUAAAAUAAAUAGAGAAAAUCCUUUAAAAUAUUCAAUUUCUAAACAAAAUCAAACUCACAUCAAUAGCAGAUCUUGACAAAGAAACCCAAAAUCACAAAUGAUCCUAUCUUUUUAAAAGGGGAAAAAGAAAACUUACUAUAAGAGAGAUAACCAGCAUAGCCAGUAGUUCCAGUAACACCUGCAAUGAGUCCGUACUUGACAAAGCUCUAAAUUUUCCCUCCCGAAACCUGUGGGGCAACUUUCGGCGCCAGAGGAGGAGGUGUCGACUGAUCGGAGAGAAUGGAUUGUGAAGAACAAUCCAAACUUAAUUUACAAGCAAUGUGGAAAUUUUGGACGUUGCAGUAUUGACUACGUUUACUUGAGGGAAAACAAAGACAUGAAUGCUGGAAAUUUUAACUAGUUUGUACGGUCAAUGAAGCUACCUCGAAUGUUAAAUAUGUUACUCUGCAAUGCCAUUGUAAAUAUGACUGUUAAAUUUGUUGAUAGCGGAAUUGUUCCACUCAAGUUAUUGUGGGACAAAUCAAGAAUUUGAAGAAAAGUGACAUUGCAUGUUAAACAAGAGACCUCUCCAUUGAAACUAUUAUUUGAGAUCAGAAAGACAUUGAUUGUCGAAGCUGGAAUCGGAAGAUUUCCACGGAUCAAAUAGGAGCUUAAGUCAAGAACUACAAUAUUCUUCCAUGGAAAGUGCAAAACUUCUGUCAAAGAGUUGCUGUAAUUGGAUUAAUCUCAUCGUUGCUGCAAUCUUUUGACAAAUCGAAUCUUAAAUAUGUUACUCUGCAACGCUAUUGUAAAUGUUACUCUUAAAUAUUACUCUGUAACUAGAUUGAUGGCUCAAUCUUGUUUUUAACAUUGUUAUGGGUAUUACUACUUUCAUGCUUUGAUACGCGAUACCCUCUUUCUAGGUGACAUUUUUGCUCCUUCCGGGCCACCAUGGGCUCUCUGCAUCACUCACCAACCUCAUUAGAUUCCCCGGGUGCCAUUUGGCCAUCUCAAGUCUCAAAAUAGCAUCAAAAUGCACUCUAAUAAUUUAUUAAUAUAAAGAACUAAAACAAAAUAAAAACACAACAAAGAUAUCUAAAUUGCACGAAAAUAAGCUUUUAAGUGUGAUGGAGAGUCUAAUUUGACAUAUCAAUUAAUGUUUGACUAUCUCCAUCUCACUUUUUAUUAAUUAAGGAAUAUGAAUUAGAAUUAAUAUAAACUUACUAUUUUAACAUUUCAUAAGCAAAAGCUAAAAUAAUAUUGGUCACAUCCCAUAUCUUCAUAUAUAGCUUAUCAGACAAAAGUUAAAACAGCCUUCAGUUCAUCUACAUUCUACAUUCCACGUCGAAUCUGCAAGCAUCAAAUAUUAACCUUUGAACUCCAAAAUAACAACACCAAUUUCCAGCAAUUGCAGAAGAAUGUCCAAUAAUUCCACACAAAUUAACAACAAUUUGCCAGCAUCCACUACAUUCGUAUGAAUUCCACACAAAUUAAGACUGGAAACUCUAACUUGUUCAUACCCUCAAUGAAGCUACCUAAAAGUUAUGAAUUCCACUGCAAAUUUUGUAUUGCUUGGAAUGAAUUGACUGUAAUUUCCUAUUACUUGCCACAAAAUUUUCUUUUACUGCUAACUUGUAAAAAAAUUAUGAAAAUACAACAGAGAUCAUUGAGACAUUUUGUUCUCCUUUCUCCUUUACUGAGCAGUAGCAAAGAUUAUCGAGACUAAAUUGAAAGUCAUGAAAGAAGACAUAAACAACACCACCAUACAAAAUGUUACACUCAAACAAACCAUUACAGAUAGUACGAAAUGCAAUGAAAGACACAGGAAUUGGUACAACAAUAAAGACAGACACAUACCAAUGCAACCCUUCACCAUAGGCAAAACGGUCUACAGAAUAAGAAAUUAUGAAAAUACAACACUAAUUCUUGAACAUCAUUUCCAGUAAUUAGAUCCUUCUUCGUCUAUUGCUUCGAUUGCCUUUCUUUGACUUUCUUCUUCGCCUCAUCUCUUGUUGGUUUUCAACCAAAUUCACCAACCAUUUCGGCUUACCAAUUUGGAAAACAACAUAUCCCACGGACAUUCCGAACACCACUCUGCAUCCAUAACCUAUCAACACCACUUUCCAACCAAAAGCAAUGUUUGAUUUUGAGCCAUCUUUUUCAAGCGCAUUUGGAGGUGCUGGCUCAAUGAUGUUGCAACCUUUCGAGACCGGAAACCCACACAGUCCAUUAUUCCCUUCAUAUGAAUCAUUUCCAAAUGUGUUGAAUUGUUUUCCUUGAGGAAUCUGACCAUGGAGUUGAUUUUCAGCGACAUUGAAGGACGAAAGAAAUGGCAGAUCUGCCAAUCUAUUUGGAAUCGUCCCAGACAACCUGUUUGAAGAUAGGUCCAACCAUUCAAUACUUGUCAAAUUCCCUAUUGAUGUGGGAUACCACCAUUAAGGUUAUUAUGAGAAAGGUUGAGCCCUUUCAGUAAGUUAAGCUUCCCAAAAACCUUUGGAAUACCCCCUUCAAACUGAUUGUUUGAUAGAUCAAUGAUCAUCCACAUGGUGAAAAUUUUCACCAAUUCCAUAUAUUGUCCUUUCAUAACAGUUCCGAUGGAAUAGGUAUAGAAGCCAUUACCUCUCGGAACAUACAUCCCCAUGUACGACAUUGUACUCCCAAUCUUCUCUAGAUUUAUGAUACCCUUGAAGCUGUUGAUGUAUCUCACUGGUAGGGGUCCAGAAAAAUAAUUACUUGAGAGAAAAAAAAUUUGGAUUUUAGAGAAAAAAGGGCUAGACUUGGAGCUAUUGUCACAUAAGGAACCAUGCAUAUGAUUUGACUUCAAUACAAGAACUUGUAGCUGUGGAAGACUUCCCAACCAAUGAGGAAAUGUAUCAUUGAUCUUGUUCUUCUUCAGAUUCAAGAAUUGAAGGCUGUAGCUCAAAUUUUCAAAACAUUGCGGAAUUGUUCCGCUCAAGUUAUUGUGGGACAAAUCACGAAUUUGAAGAAAAGUGACAUUGCAUAUUAAAGAAGAGACCUCUCCAUUGAAACUAUUAUUUGAGAUCAGAAAGACAUUGAUCGUCGAAGCUGGAAUGGGAAGAUUUCCACGGAUCAAAUUGGAGCUUAAGUCAAGAACUGCAAUAUUCUUCCAUGGAAAGUGCUCAACUUCUGUCAAAGAGUUGUGAGAUACAUUUAAGUCAAAGAGCCAUUGCCCACCUCUUGCAUCCACUGUGGAAUCUUGCCUUCAAUUUUGUUGCAAGAGAGGUCCAAGCUUUCCAAACUUUUAAGCCCUUAUAAAAACUGGGGGAAUUCACUAAGAUUGAAAGAUGACAAACGUAAGUCUAUAAGAUUAGACAAUAUAUGGUUAACACAAGAAGUAGUAUUAAAUGUUAAGGAUAGGCUGUUAUAUGAAAGGUCGAGAAGUUUUAGAGUUGGAAGGUUUGAGAACAUGCGAAACUCUAUGACACCACUAAGAUUAUUUGAGGAUAAAAGGAGGUGGGUAAGAUUGAGAAGUUGGAAUAUUGAAGAUGGAAGAGGACCUUGGAGUUUAUUAUUGUUUAACCUUAUCAAUUCUAGUGUUUUG
rnacentral:lncRNA from 1 species